rnacentral:lncRNA from 1 species
CCGGAGUAAUGCUGAGUAUGAGGAGCACUUGAAGAUUGUGCUACAGCUUCUGCGAGAGAAGAAGUUGUCUGCCAAGUUAAAGAAGUGCGAGUUCUGACUACGGGAGGUUGCUUUCUUGGGCCACGUGAUUUCAGCUGAGGGCGUAGCAGUGGACCCGAAGAAGAUUGAGGCGAUUUGAGAUUGGCCUAGACCGACGACGGUGACUGAGGUACGGAGUUUUCUGGGACUGGCAGGAUAUUACAGUCGGUUUGUGGAAGGCUUUGCGAAGCUUUCCACACCCCUCACACGCUUGACGCGGAAGGGGAUUCGUUUUGUCUGGAGCGACGACUGUCAGAGGAGCUUUGACGAGUUGAGACUGAGGUUGACGUCGGCUCCUAUCCUUGCCCUUCCGGUGAUGGGGGUGGAUUUGUGAUCUAUAGUAAUGCAUCGCACAGUGGACUUGGUUGCGUGCUGAUGCAGCAUGGUAGGGUGAUUGCUUAUGCUUCACGGCAGUUAAAGGAUUAUGAGAAGAAUUACCCUACGCAUGACUUGGAGCUUGCCGCGGUGGUUUUUGCUUUGAAGCUCUGGCGGCAUUACUUGUAUGGCGAGCACUGCGAGGUUUUCACUGAUCAUAAAAGUCUCAAGUAUCUGUUCACACAGAGGGAGCUGAACCUGAGGCAGCGCCGGUAGAUGGAGUUACUGAAGGCUAUGACAUUAGUAUUCAGUAUCAUCCCGGCAGGGCGAAUGUAGUGGCAGAUACGUUGAGCAGGAAAACAGUGUAGAGCCUGAGUUUGACGAUCACUGAGCAGAAACCCCUACUAGAGGAGCUACAGCGGCUGGGACUCGAGAUAGUACCCCCUGGCUCUACAGCGAGGCUGACGUCUCUAGUUUUACAGUCCACUCUGUUGGAUAGGAUCCAAGAGAAACAGAGUGGAGAUCCGUACUUGUUGAGGAUCAGAGAGCAGCUAGACAGGGUGCAAGUUGAGGGUUUUGCUUUGGACAGUUCGGGAGUACUACGGUACAGGGACCGACUGUGUGUGCCUGUGGAUUCUGAGAUCCGAGCAGACAUUCUGAGAGAGGCUCAUUGUUCAACUUAUACGGUUUACCCUGGGGGAACCAAGAUGUAUAAGGAUCUAAAGGCACGGUUCGGUGGCAUAGAAUGAAGAGGGACAUUGGCAGAUAUGUGGCUCAGUGUUUGACUUGCCAACAGGUAAAGGCCGAACAUCAGGCGCUUGCUGGCAAGCUUCAGAGUCUGCCAGUGCCCGAGUGGAAGUGGGAGUACAUCACUAUGGACUUCGUCGUUGGAUUGCCUAGAGCACAGGGUGGCUACGACGCGAUUUGGGUCAUAGUGGACAGACUGACCAAGUCUGCUCACUUCCUACCGGUUCAGACUACCUGGUCCAGAGAGAGACUCGCGCAGCUAUACUUGGAUGAGAUCGUUAGGCUGCACGGUGUGCCAGUGUCGAUUGUAUCAGACAGAGACCCGAGGUUUGUAUCCCAGUUUUGGAGGAGUCUUCAGACCGCCUUGGGCACUCAGUUACAUUUUAGCACGGCGUUCCACCCACAGACAGAUGGUCAGUCAGAGCGGACCAUACAGACUCUAGAGGACAUGCUGAGGGCAUGCGUCCUGGAUUUUGGAGGAGGGUGGUAUCGACAUGUGAGCCUGGUUAAGUUUGCGUACAACAACAGCUAUCAAACGAGCAUUCAGAUGGCUCCGUUUGAGGCGUUGUAUGGACGCAGAUGUCGAUCCCCCCUGUUUUGGAGCGAUGUGGGUGAGCGGAGGACACUUGGACCGGAGAUUCUACUUGAGGCUGAAGAAAAGGUGAGAAUCGUUCGACGACACCUUUUGGCAGCACAGAGCCGGCAGAGGAGCUACGCCGAUACCAGGAGACGAGACUUGGAGUUCCAGGUUGGAGAUCAUGUAUUCCUUAAAGUCUCGCCGUCCAGAGGGAUACGCCGAUUUGGAGUACGUGGAAAGCUUAGUCUACGGUUUGUUGGCCAUUUCGAGGUAUUGGAGCGUAUCGGACCCGUUGCUUACAGGAUAGCUUUACCCCCGCAACUUGUUGGCAUCCACGAUGUUUUCCACGUCUCAGCAUUGAGGAGAUACGUUUUCGAUCCCACUCACGUGAUUGACUUCACUCCACUGGAGAUUAGCAAGGAUCUGAGAUACGAGGAGCGACCGUUGCGGAUUCUUGCUUGGGAGACGAAAGAAUUGCGCAACCGGGUCAUCCCGUAUGUGAAAGUGCAGUGGAGCAAUCACGAGGAGCGGGAGGCGACUUGGGAGCCUGAGACGGUGAUGAGGGAGGCCUAUCCCUAUCUGUUUGAUGCCUGAGUUGAGGUACGUUUCAGUUUCGUGGACGAAACUUUUUGUAGAGGGGGAGGAUGUGAGAUCCCUGGUGUUCUGUCGUGGAGACUUGUCGGCAGCUCUGAAGAGUGUCGGGACAAGUCCGAGUCGCGUUGGCGUCAAAUAGACGCAAAACGGACUUCGUGCGAUGCGAGGGCGACUUAUAGCGAAGAAAUCUGCAAAAUAGCAGAUUUCUCUGCUUGUUGUACCGGUACAACCAGCAGGCUGUACCGGUACAACCAGCGCGCACUGGCUUAACUGCUCUCGGGUUGGCUCUUGUACCGGUACAGGAGCCCGUGUACCGGUACAAGGGGGUAGGUAGAGGGCUGUUUGGUAAUUCCCUCCCUCGUUUGCAUCACCACUCCACCCACUGCUAUAUACAGGUGUAGAGAGCUUGAGAGAGAGUGUUCUUGCUGCUCCUUCUUCUCCUCUCUCUCUAUAGCUUGGUUCGACCGUGGAGGGGCUUGGUUAGAGCUUUCAUCGUCGAAGUCGCGCCGCGGAGUCGUUCGAGGAUACGGUUGCCGCCGUUGCAUCACGAGGAAGCUGGGCGAGUGCGGAUUUUCGCUGAUCGUGACGUCGCACCAGUGCUAGCUGCGGUCGAGGUUGGUUAUCUAGCACUUCCUUCGUUUUGGCUAGUUUUUACUUCUUCGAGCUCAUAGAUGCUGAUUUGCUGAAAAUCGCCGUCGACCGUUAGUAUUUCAGCUCGUACUCGACGUAGGAGCAUCGGAUUGUGACGAGACUUGGUUCUUUGGAUUCAGGAUUGCUAGAGGAAUCCACGAAAUCCUUACUUGUGGAUUUUUGUGCAGGUUAGCUUGGUUGAAACCCUUCUCUUCUCUGCUGCUGUGUAUUUGGACUGAAUUGUAGAUUUUCGAUGUUGAUAGCUUGGAGAUAGUUUGAUUUCGAGACUCGGACAUUUUCAGUCGAUCCAGUUCCGUGCUGCCAGGAAUUAGCUUUGAGGUGGGUUACAUCGGUUUUACUUCUAAGUUCAUAAUCGUCGACAUGUAUAGAUUUCGAUUUUGGAUAAUCUAUUCUAGCUCGAAUUCAUGGAUUAUAUGGUAGAUUGCAAAUUUGAAUUUGGAGCAUGUGGCAAUAAAUUGAGUAGGCUAUACAUGUUGGACUUAGAAUUUGAAUUAGGAGAAAACCUGCGAUUUGGACCUGUCACUUGUUUAAACUGUCUGAUUUAGCUCUAGGAACCGUUAUAAAAUUUUACUGUCGCAGUAUCCUCGAGACGAGUAUUCUAGAUAGUUUAGAAUACAUUUACGCUCAUACUGGUAUGCCGAGUAGAUUUUUACAGGGUCGUUUGGGCUGUUUUGGACUGUUGGGUGCCGUAAGAGUUGACGGUGGACCCGGAUCGCCUUUUUGGCGACAGAUUGUGCCAAGGGCACGUGAACUGUUGGUUAUUAGACUAGUUAGAGUCGGUUACUUGACUUUGGCUUUUCAGAGCCUGAUUGAGCUCGACAGAGAUACGCUGCAUACUCGGUUGGCUUAGCGCCCACAAGUGCCACUCCGGAGUCAGCUUUGUGCUUUCGCGUUGGUGUCGUUCAUACCGGUUGGACUUGCUCUCCACGGACCAGUUAGUGUGGAGGUAGCUGGAUAGUCGCAACUGGGCAGGGACGGGUGUAUUCACAGUCCCAGAGACGGGUAGGUUUACAGUGCCGAUUGGAUUGGGUCAGAUUUGACAUUUCCUACAGUUGGUUAGUGUAGAGCAUGAUAGUGUAGUGAUUAAUAGCGGUAGAGUUUACUUCCUGCUUUUUCCUACUAUCCUGACUCCCCUCUGUAGACUUAGUGGGUGGACCGAUGUUGUUUCGGCGGCACCCACUGAGGACUACUUAUUUUUACAGUAGUUCUCACGCCCAGUUGGUACCCCUGUUUUGUAGAGCCACAGGUUUCGGCUGCUGCGCCUUCCGCGGAUCAGGAUCGAGGCAAGGGUGUCGCGAGUUAGAGCCCUACCCGACGUGCUGAGCUAGAGGUGCCCCUACUGCAGGUAGAUGUUUUGUUUCGAGUUUAUGUACAUAGUAGACUUAACUCGCCAGUGCGAGUAGCUUUGUAUUUUGGAUUUGGACUAUGUAUAUGAAACUCAGUUUAUUUAGCUUCUGUUUUCUCUAGCAGCUCUCUACUACUGUUCGUAGUAGUGUUGGAUUUACAGGUACAGCUGUCGCUUCGUAUACAGGGAAAAUUCCUUUGUAUACGGCGGAUUUGUCGGCGUGUCCGGGGAACGAGACAUCCGGGGCUUGACAGAUUCGGUGCGACGACUUUCAAUAAAACACCUAACUGAUUGCCAUUGAUCGGACUUUGUCCAUCAGCCUAUUCAUAAGUUCAAUUCAUAACCUCAAAAUAAAUCAAUUUUUCCUUGAUCUGUUCUGCCAUCCCACCUAAUAAAUUACUAGGAUUCAUUUUCAAUAUAACUAGUUCUCUGGUUUUCAUAUUUUUGCCAUUAAUUGGUAGCUCAAACUUUCCAAUGGAGCUUCCAACUAUGAAAUAUAUGAAAUAAUCAUUGUAGUCUAAAAACUUAAAUCGAUAGAGAAUGAUAUUUAAAUAGUUUUAUAUUUAACAUAUUUUAUAGUUUGGAUCACAGUCGGAUCUCCUGCUCUGAUACCACGAGAACAACCGUUAUAUUCUAAAAGUUUAAACUGAUAAAGAACGGUAGUUAAAUAUUUUUAUAUUUAACACAUUUUAUAGUUUGGAUCACGGUUGGACCGGUCAAUUCGAUCCGAUAUUUCGAACAUAUGAAGGUGGGGAUAUCAAUGGGUUAGAUUCGGGAUGGAUUUUCAAAAACCCGAACCCGAACCUGACUCCAAACUUGAACCCGCAGGCAACGGAUUUUAAAAAUCCAUAUCCAAAUCCGAAACCCAAACCCAAACCCAAACCCAAACUCGAACCCGAAACAAUUAUUUUUUCUCAAUAUUUCAAAAAAUAUAUUAUAUUAAAUCUAAUUUUGUAAAAUAUAAAUUCGAAUAUAACAUCAAACAUUUAUACACAUAUUAUAUAUAUAAAAUAAAUUCAGGUUCGAAUCGGAUUCGGAUCACGUAUAAUCAAAAUCCAUAUCCGAAUCUAAAUCCGUCGAAAUUUUAUUUUUGAUAUCCAUAUCUAAAACUAUUUCUAUUUAGUAUCAAGUAAAAUUUAUUUUGUUCGAUUUCGGAUUUGAAUAAAAUUUCGAGUAUUUCGUGUUCAUUGACAACUCUGUAUGAAAGCGAGGUUCGUUGACUUUUCCAGGGAGACUGUGGGGUCAAUUUGACUGGUGCCGCGAAAGCCACGGCAGGGAUUGACUCAGUCUCGUUGCCUUGGAGGCUGCGUCCAACGCUAUCACGACGACACUUCGAUUUCUCCGCCCUCUUUUUUUUUUUUUUUUUUUUCACAUAUAUGGAACAUUUUUAAAUAGGAAAAACUUCAAAAACCCCCAUGUGAUUUCGUCGUUUCUCACUUAGCACAACUGUGGUUUAAAAUGUAUCAAAUUGCCCCCAUGUGGUUCGUUUUUAUCUAUUCGGUAGCUUUUUCGUUAAUAUUUUAUUAAAUUAUAUACAAAAAACUUCAGAUAUCUAUCUAGAUUUAUCAAAUAUUCACUUUAGUACCCUUUAACUUUAACUUUAUCACUGAUUUAAGAAAAAAAAUAAUGAAAUUGAUAAGAAAAAGAGAAAAAAGAAAACCACGGGGGGGGGCAAAUUGAUACAUUUUAAACCACAGGGGGCAAAGUGAGAAACUACGAAACUACAAGGGGGGUUUUUGAAGUUUUCCCUUUUAAAUAUCAUAGUUCACACUUUUUUAUUUUAGUACCCUAUAAUUUAAAAUGUAUCAAUUUGUACCAUGUAGUUUCAUCUUUAUCUUUUUAUUAUCGUUUCUAUUACUUUUUUUCGUUAAAUCAGUAACAAAGCUAAAACUAAAAGGUACUAAAGUGAAUAUUCGACAAAUCUAUAUGGAAUAUCUGAAACUUUUUGUAUAAAAUUUUACCAAAAUAUUAAUUAAAAAGCUGACGAAAAGAUAAAAAUGAAACCACAGAACACUAACUUGAUACACUUUAAACCACAUGCUACUAAAGUGAGAAAGUGCGAAAUGACAGGGACUGUCUUUGAAGUUUACCAUUUUUUAUGAAAAUAACUUUAAAUAUCACCAUUAUAGUUUCGUUCUUUUUUAUUUUAGUAUCCUAUAUUUUAAAGUAUAUUAAUUUAGUGCCCUGUAAUUUUAUUUUAUUUUAUUAUUCCCUCCACUAAUGUUUUUUUAUUAAAUCGGUGACAAAGUUAAAACUAAAAGGUACUAAAGUGAAUAUUCGAUAAACCUAGGUGGGACAUCUGAAAUUUUUUAUAUAUAAUUUAACGAAAUGUUAACGGAGGAGCUGACGAAAAGAGAAACUGAAACCAUAGGAGACUAAAUUGAUACACUUUAAACCAUAUGAUACUAAAGUAAGAAAGUGCGAAACUACAUUGGUGAUAUUUGAAGUUUAUUCUUUUUUUAUUCAUUGUUGUUAGGGUAAAUUGCACCUUUGGUCCUUAAUCUAUAAGCGACGCGAACUUUAAUCCAUAAAUUUUAAUUUGUUAUAAUUUUUAACUCUAAUUUUUAGAAUUGUUGUAAUCAAGCUUCAAAUUUUAAUUUAGUUGACUAAAUUUUAAAGCAUUGUUAAUAUAGAAAUAAUGUAAUAUCUUAAUUAUUUGUGUAUCAUUUGCAUGUUAGCAAUAUAUCAAUAUUUAGUCAAUUAAAUUGGGCUAUAGGCUAUAGAACUUGAUUGCAACAAUUCAAAAAGUUCGAGAUAAAAAUUACAACUAAUUAAAGUUUGCGGAUCAAACGUACAGUUUACCCUUCUUAUUUUACGAGAAUAUUUUUAAGAUGAAGAGUCGAAUCAUGGACAUGCAUGUCUACCAAAUUUUGAUUCUCCACCUUUUCACACAUAGUAGCUGGUAAAUAUCUUAAAAAGAAGGGAUGAUUUCAUACAGCUCCCUAUAAACAUAUCGAAUAACAAAUAUAUUCUUACAAAAUUCAUAUUUUUAGAUUUAUCCCUGAAACCCCUAUUGUUAGGGUGCGUUAAAAAGUAUACAUAGUUAAUUAUAAGUAAAAUACUUAAUUUUGAUUAGUAAGUGAAAUAAAUUGACCUUUUUAUUCUUAUAAUAUUAUACCUUCUUUUCUCAAUCAAAAUUCUAGUAAUAAAAACUCUUUUUUCUCUUUCUCUUUCUCUUCCUUUCUUUCCUUCAUGCUAGGUUCGAACCCGUAACUAUAGUUUUUCCGUCACCAUUCAUCUACGACGCUUGUUGCUUUCCAUGUCAAACGCCGGGAAAUCAAUAGUAGAUAGGUAAAUGAGAAAAGGUGUAAGAGAAGAGGUUGCAAUAAUGAUGAAUUGAGUUAAUUUUUAUAGAAGAAGAAGAUGAUCAUUAAAAAUUUUUUAGGAGGAUAUUUCUACAUAAUUAUAACAGUUGAAAAUUUUAAAGGAAUAUAUUUGUGAUAAUAAAAAUGACAUUUCACUUAUCUGCUAUUAAAAAAUAAACAGUGAGCUAACAAUAACAAGUCAGAAAGACAAAUAAGCAAAAUAUCUAAACUCUUUAAGGAACGAAUCUAAAAAAUUUAAUUUUGCAAAGAUAUAUCUGCUAUUCGAUAUGUUUACAUAUUAUCUGUAUGAAAUUGUCCCUAAAAAGAAUGAUGUUAUAUUAUUCUUACAUCAGAUAAAAUGGGAGAGAGCAUAAAAGGAUUACACAUGAUUAAAGUUGAACUAAUCCAAUUUAUAUUAUGCAUUUUGGUUCAAUUAAGUUGAUCUUAGUUUGGUUUGAUUUAUGAUUUGACCAGUAAUUCUAUUUGGAUUUCGAUUGAGUUUUUUUUUUUUUUAAUUUUCCGACUAAACAAUGCAGAAACCAUUUUUUCGUUCAGUUAAGUUGAUUUUUUUUUUUAUUUUAUUAAGUGAUGCUUCCGAAUUUUUUUUUUUUUUUUUUUAAACCAUUCAUUUGCGUCGUUUGAAGGACGGAGAUUCAUUGUUGAGAUUGUUUGGUAGGUAAGUGGGAGGGCGGUGAGGUCGGUACCGGUUAAUCGGACAAAAAUUGUCCAUUUGGUAGGUAAGUGGGAGGUCGGUGAGGUCGGUAUCCGUUAAUCAGACAAAAAUUGUAUGGACAUCGUUCCAUAAAUUAAUUAGUUUGGAAACAAUACGGAUGGCCGCCACGUGACGAGCACGCGCCCAUUCACGCGCCCAUCUCACCCUCCAUUUUUCUUUCUAUGCUUCUUUCUCUCUCCCAAUAGAAAUCAGAAUGCACAAAUUUUUUUUGGAAAAACUUCAAAAACCCUCCUUGUGGUUUCACACUUUAUCACUUUAGUAUCCCUGUGGUUUAAAGUGUAUCAAGUUAGUACCCUGUGGUUUCUCACUUUAUCACUUUAGUACACUGUGGUUUAAAGUGUAUCAAGUUAGUGUUCUGUGGUUUUGCACUUUAUCACUUUAGUAUCAUGUGGUUUCACACUUUAUCACUUUAGUACCCUAUAAUUUAAAAAACUACAGGGUACUAACUUGAUACAAAAUUAAAAACGCAGGGUACUAAAGUGAUAAAGUGCAAAACCACAGGGUACAACUUGAUACAUUUUAAACCACAUGGUACUAAAGUGAUAAAGUGAGAAACCACAGGGUACAAACUUGAUACAUUUUAAACCACAGGGUACUAAAGUGAAAAAAUUGAAACCACAAGGAGGGUUUUUGAAGUUUUUCUUUUUUUUUUUUCUUCUUUUUUCCUUCUCACUCACGCAAUUGGUGUGUGCUCGCCACACGGCACCCAUCUGCAUCGUUCCCAAACUAGUAGUUUGAAAACGUUGUCUAUAUAAUUUUUGUCCUGGUUACUCGGUACCCCUGAGAGGUGAUUUUUAUGGACAUUUUAGUAAGGCUAAAUUACAGAAAAUCUUCCUAUCAAAACUCGUUUUUUCACUUUUCCUUCCUGUCAUUUAAAAAUCUACACUUUACCCCACUAAAUAAUGAAAAAUAUUCACUUUGGAUCCUGCCGUCAGUGUUCCGUUAGGGUUCCGUCUAUAUCCCAUUAUUAUAUAUAUUUUUAUACCGAAAAUACCAUUCUACAGAUAAAAGAGAGUUGGGGAAGUAGAGGAAGAAGGAGAGAAUAUUUUGGUCAAUACUAUUAACACCGUACUCUCUGUAAACAUUUUUUUAUUUUUUAGGGUGGCAAAAUGUACGUUUUUAAAUAACAGGGAGGAAAAGUGAAAAAUCGGAUUUUGAUAUGAUGGUUUUAUGUAAUUUAGCCUUUUAAUAAUUUUGAUUAUGGGAUGGUGUAGCAAGUUUGAAAAUGCUUGAACCGCGUCCACAGCAUCAACGGGGAACUUUCAAUUUUAAAUUUUUAAAUUUUAAAUCUAAAAUAUAAAUAUAAAUUUUAAUUUUAAUUUUAGUUUAAAUUUUAACUUAAAUAAAGAAUUCAAAUUUAAUUUUAAGUUUAAGUUUAAUAUUUGGAAUUCAAAAUUCAAAUUAAAAUUUAAAUUUAGUGUCAAAAAUUAUAUUUAAAUUUUGAAUCCAUAUUCGAACGUAAAUUCAAACAUGUUAAUUCAGGUUAAAAUUUGAAUUUUGAGUUUGACUAUUUGUUUAAAUUGAGAUUCUAGUAAAUAAUUCACAUCGAAGUUGAGAGGGUCUCCAUACAUUUUAAUAUUAAAUUUUAUUUUAAUAUAAUAUAAAAUAUUAUAAUGUAUGGAUAGAUCAUGUGCACCUAAUAAUUUUUAUAGAUCUCUCUCUGAGAUGCUUAUCAUGAAUUUUUAGGGGAAAAAAUAUUAAAACUUUGAAAAUUAUAUAAAAAGAUAAAUUUUAGAAACUAUUUUGAACUUUUCUGUAAAGUUAUAAAUCUAUACGAAAAUUUCAAAAGAUGAAUAGUUGGGGGGCUUAUUUUAAAAUCGGCUGCAAGUUGAGGGGCAUCCUUAGAUUUUUACCUUUCUAGCAUGUGGGAUUGCAUACAAACUAAAAGAGAAUUACUUGUUCACAUUUACAUCCAAAAAAUUAAGUACAGGAACAAACUUAUUUUUUAUUUAGUUCGGUAUUAAAUGCGAGUAAAAUUCAGCUUUCGUUUCCAUUCAGUAUUUUUGUUAAAAUUACGAAAAUUAUAUUUAUUGACAUCCACUUUUAGAUGCCCGGAGCUCUUGGGCUAGAGCGCGUCGCAUAGGUUGCCAAAGCAGAGACAUCAGUGAAAGAAGUGAGGACCACCCAAAAGAAGCUCAUCUUGCAUGCACCAUCAAGGUUUAGGGUUUAGGGUUUAGGGCUCAAAUAGGCAAAAGCACUAAAAAGGUCUAGGGAUGGGUGUGCAGACAGAGGUCAGCUUUGGAAAGGAUAAGACGUAUCACGAAGAUCAUAACCGGCGUUUGGAUGCAGACAGACCCAAGGGGACGCCUGCCAUCACGAUAGAAGGGUCCGGCGGCAGGAAUGAAGUUGACGAAAGGCUGCGAUGACGUAUAGGCUGCGACAGAUGUGACUGUUAUGUACAACAUGUGCGAUAUGCACAGUUCAAGCAGAGAAGUGUCGAAAGCACAACAUCCGAAGGCAGUGAUGGAAAUGAGCAGGAAAAGCAUUGGCGGCCACAUCACAGCACCUAAAGAUAUAAAAGGAGAAAAUAGAUGCAUCUUCAACUACCAAGCAUUUACAAUUACAGCGAACCAAACGGCACCUGAGAGCAGCUAUAAGUUAGAAUUGCCGACCCACACUAGCAGAGUUCUUCACCAAACACUGCUCGGCUCUCGUAUGCCACUAACUCUCACCGAGUCGCUAUGUGCAUUUUGCUUUGGCUUAGAGACCACUGAUUUGCGACGGUCUUCUUCACCCGAUCUCGGUUCGGACCAGCAGUUGAGAUCCGAUAGGCCAAUAUAGGACUCCAGUCUGGCCCAUAUCAAGGGCCCCCAAAUCACUCGUGGGGGGCCCUCAACUUAAAAUGUAUCCCAAUCCUAAUAUAAUUAGAAUUUCGACUCUAAUUAAUAUCUAAAUUCAUUAUAAUUUAUCACCAACAGAUUUAAAUAUUAAUUCUAAUCCAACUGGAAUUCAACUAUAAAUCUAACCAAAACGUAACAGAUCAUUUCUCUUAAAAUUUAAUAAAUAUCUUCAGAAAACUAUGGAGUUAAUAGAAAGCACGAAAUGACCAAAUUGACCUUACUAUAAAAAAAUUAAUUGUUAGAUGUGACUCGAAAUCUACUAUCGAUUCAGGUUCGGGUUUAUGACUCGCCGAUAGCUUCGCGGUGCGACCAAUUUGAAAAAGAAAAUUAUGGAGGAAAAAUGAAUGUCUUUGGUGGGUAGCGGAGGGCUCGNUAUGUGCAUUUUGCUUUGGCUUAGAGACCACUGAUUUGCGACGGUCUUCUUCACCCGAUCUCGGUUCGGACCAGCAGUUGAGAUCCGAUAGGCCAAUAGGACUCCAGUCUGGCCCAUAUCAAGGGCCCCCAAAUCACUCGUGGGGGGCCCUCAACUUAAAAUGUAUCCCAAUCCUAAUAUAAUUAGAAUUUCGACUCUAAUUAAUAUCUAAAUUCAUUAUAAUUUAUCACCAAUAGAUUUAAAUAUUAAUUCUAAUCCAACUGGAAUUCAACUAUAAAUCUAACAAAAACCUAACAGAUCAUUCCUCUUAAAAUUUAAUAAAUAUUUUCAGAAAACUAUGGAGUUAAUAGAAAGCACGAAAUGACCAAAUUGACCUUACUAUAAAAAAAUUAAUUAAUAUUUUUAAAUAUAUUUUUGCUAUUUUUAAUGAUAUUUUUGAUAUAACAGAAUAGUGGUGGAACCCUGAAGGAGAGGGAUUAAAUAUAUCAGCUUGAAAUUUUGAGUGGGUACACUAUAGAUUUUUGAAAGCCGAAAAUAGAAAAUAAAAAAGAUAGAUAUUUACAGAAAAAUUUUUAUAAUAUAAAUGAAUAGAUUAUGGAAAAGCACCUUGUAUUUAUAUCGUUUGGUCCAAUUACCUACUUGCGUAAAAAAUUAUAUGAAUUUUAAUUUUGUACUUUAGCAUCUAAAAUUUGAAAUAAUUAUCGAAUUUAGACGCAGAACUUCACCGAAAUAGUUUGGCAUGUAUAAUAAACUUAAAAUUAAAGAAAAUAUGUAUGUUAUUGAAUAAAAAUAUUUAUGAGCCUGUUUAAUAAUAAAGUGUAGACUUGAAAUUAACUGCAAAUAUAUAUAUAUUUUUUUGUAUACAUUCCACAUCAAGAUAUAUACAAUAUUUACAAAUUAAUAAUUUAGUUACAAGCUUAUACAUUAAUAACUAUAUAUACUUCUAGAUGUAGCUAGAAUCGUUUACUUCCAUGCAGUUGUCAGAGGGAUUGGACUUCUGAAAAGUUCAGAUAGUUUUUGUAGUAAAGUUUUAAUGAUUCCGAUCGACGAUGAUUCGAAUGUCACAUUAUCUAAAACGACACGAAAGUAAACUGCUUUUUAUUUCUCGAUACAGUCCAGCUUUAUUUAUGGACGGAUAGAACGAGCCCGCUAAGUGCUGCUCUUGAGCUGGAGCAAUCUGACCCCGAAAAGCGCGAGCAGCGUGCAGGACGGCACGAAGACGACGUCGGGGAUGAGGUUGAGCCGAAAAUUCUUGACCGCCGGUAUAUUCUGCCCCGUCCGCUUGAGAGCCAUGGCGGCAGCCGGCGCGGCGAGGCCCGUCGUGAUCAUGGCGCUGGGGUUUGUCUUCCGUUCCUUCAAAUGUUUCUCCAUAAACUCGAAAAACGUCUUCGGCUUUUCUGUAGAUUCCUUCCAUUUUUCGUCGUAGAAGACCUGCGUAGUUCAAAGUGUGGAGAAGCGGUGAGUUUCUGGCUUUGUUUGGGAUUACGAGAAAAUUGCAUUAUAUGUGAUCCGAAAGCAUAAUAAGAAAAUGCUACUUUUUUUUUUUUUUCCAACUCUAUUUUCUUGGCUAGCAUUCCAUCCAAGCAGGGCCUUAAUUUUUUUUCACUUCGCUAUCUCAUAGUUUAAUAGUACGGAUGUCAAUGGUACGGAUAUUCGAGAUUUUAUCCGAACCCGAAUCCGAAUAAAGCAAAUUUAUCCGAUGUUAAAUGGAUAUGGCUUCGGAUAUGGAUAUCAAAAACAAAAACUCGAUGGAUAUGAAUAUGAAUAUGGAUUUUGACUGUACCCAAUCCGAACCCGAAUUCGAAUCCGACUUGAACCCGAAUUUAAUUUACAUUAUAUAUAUAUAUAUAUAUAUAUAUAUAUAUAUAUAUAUAUAUAUAUAUAUUUGAUAUUAUAAUUGAAUUUGUAUUUUAAAAAUUUAGAUUUAAUGUAAUAUAUUUUGUAAUAUUGAAAAGAGAAAUACUUGUUUCAGGUUCAAAUUUUCGGGUUCAGAUUUGGAUUCAGGUUUCAAAUUUUUUGGUCGGGUUCGGGUUUGGAUAUGGAUUUUUAAAAUCUAUGGGGUUCGGGUUUCAGGUUUGGAGCUAGGUUCGGAUUCAGAUUUUUGAGAAUCCGCCCUAAAUCCGACCGGUUGACACCCUAUUUAAAAGUGCAACUGCUCUCCUAUGAUUUAAUUUUUAGUUUACUAAAAAAUUUAUGUCAAAUAAGAUAGCAAAGUAAAAUUUUUUUUACAAUCACAUCAUAGUAGAGUGAAAAAAUGCACUAAACCACAAGUGGACAAAGUACAAUUUUUUAAACCAUGGAGUAGCAAGGUAAAAAUAAGCUAAAUCACAGGGGACCGGCAGUAUAUCCAACUUUUUGAACUACGGGGUGAUAAAAUAAAAAUAAACAAAAUUAUUAUUAAGAAAAAAAAUUCAACAUAAUUUCAAAUUUUUAGACCAAUUUAAAAACUAGUGGUAAUAUACAUGAUUCAAAUUAAAACAAAAUUUUAUGCAAGCGGAUAAUUGAGAGAAGAGCAAUGCCCAAGAGGGUAUUUUGUAAUUUAACCUAUAAUUAUAUAUUGAGAAUAAUAAAUAAAUAUAAUAAUGAAAACAAAAAAAUAAAUGGAAAAAUGCAUGGAUUUUCCCUCAACUAUAGGCCAAUCUAAAUAGCCCCAUCAUUUUUUUUUUUUUUUUGGUUCCAUUGAGACCCCUCAACUUCUAACUUUGGUUAUUUAAAUUAACGGUUCUAUUAGUUAUUUUAAUCAUUAAUCGACUUAGUUUUAUUUGCUAAACCAAGAUUCAAGCCAUUAAAUUUGUUGAAAUUACUAAUUAAUUUGAUAAAAUCUCCAAAUUUUUUUAUUAAUAUCACUUAAUUCCAAAAAAUUAGAAUCCAAGUGGUCUUAUUAAAAGAACUUGGUUAAUUAUGUACGUAUAUCGUAAAGUAAUAAAAUUACAUAUUUAUCCCUACAAAACUUUAUUUAUCAAAUGUAUCCCUCCAAAGUUGCAUUAAUUGCCUAUAAAUCCUUCUCCAUUAGUUGUCUAAUUAAAUUAACUUUUAAUACUUUUUAAAUUUUAUAUUUAACAUCACUUAUCAUUAUCAAUAAAUUUAGUCUAACUUUCAUGUUAUUUAAGUUAUAAAUUUUGAAAAAGGCUUAAAUCAAAUGAUACGUUAAAAAAAUUACACGUUUAUUGUAUUAUGUUUUUAUCUUUAUUGUUACAAAAAAUCUACAGCGAGUUAGAAUAUAGCAAAGUGAAAUAUUUGAUAGCACCCGAGAAGUUAAAUGUAAUUUUUUCAAUCCAAGAUGGAAUAAUUAAUUGAAUAACAACAGGAUUUAGUGUAACUUAUUGAGUUAAAAAGUAUUGACAAGAUUAAGUUGUAGGUCGUUAAAAAAAGAGGCUACGUAGGAAUCUUUUAUCGAGGGUACAACAAUAAAUAGUGAGCCAGUUAACCCGGUCACUAAAGAACUAAUUUGUAUUAUUUAGAGCUUUAUUGAAAAUAAAUUAUAUAUUAUUAUAUAUAUAUAUAUAUAUUAAUAUAUAAUAUAUAUAUAUUAGGUUAUAGGAGUGAGGGGUACUAUGUUUGGAAGCACGAGCUGUCCGGCUUAAGCUCGUUUUAUUGUUGCGACUUCGAAUGGUGAUCGGCUUCUGUUAACUUGAUCUGGCAAUAUUUGAAGUUACUAAAAAUAAAUUUUCUGUAAUUUUUUGAUUCAUUUGCGCUAGGGGUGUGAACGAAUGGCAGAAGUCCAAAAUUUACAGUGAAUAAAAUCUUGACAAAUGGUGUAAUUAUACUAAAUUUUAGCAUCAAAAUAUUGAUCUUAGUUUUAUAUAGUAUAGAAUUUUCCAUCAAAUUUACGUGUAUCUUGGAUAUUUUAACGUUAACUUGCAAACGGGCACUCACACGGGCCUUAAAUUAUUGAUUUUGAACCCUUAGAUCAUUAGGCAAAUGACAUCGAAAAAUCAUAAAAUUUAUUUUCUAAGUACUUCAAAUAUUAGAUCAUUAGGCAGUAUGAAUAGGUAACCCACGAUAGUAUAUUAUAUUAUAUAUAUAGUUUUAGUGCUAGGACUCUAUCCUAGUAUUAGGAUAGUAGCAUGCCAUCAAAUGUGUCUUGAGAUAGGGUAUUCGAAUCGAUGAUCGGAGCCGUGGUUUGAGUUUGUCUAGGUAUUUUGAAAUAUCUAGAAACUAAAUUUCAUAAAUUUUAAAAAUUAUUUACAUGGUGAUCAAAGUGUCGUAAAAUCGACAAUUUUUGACGGCCUAUAUGAGCCGUUUGCUUGUUUAACGGUGUAGAGCAAUCCAAAUUGCUUGAAUUUUUGAUAGAAAAUUCUUUAUACUAUUUAGAUAAUAUUUGAUAACUCUGAUUACGAACUGAGAGAGUCUAACCUCUAUUUUAAGAAGGUUAUUCAUUUAUGAUCGUUCAUUUUUCAACUUUUAAGAUGAACUUGAUAAUGAUUUUUAAAUAUUACAAAAUUUGGUUUCUAAACAUUUCUAAUUGUGUAGAUCAAUUUCAACGGUGCCGAUUAUCAAUUUGAAGUUCCGAUCAAUCAAAUCGACUUGAUAGGACAAGGGUCCCAAUCUUAUUAAUAGGAUUGUUUACCCCUCCUAUAUUAUACUGUUGUGGCUUUUGGAAGGACACAUUUGUGAUGACAAAAUUGACAUUUCACUUAUUUACUGUUAAAAUAUAAACAAUUAAUGAUAAAAAAUCAGAAUGAUAUAUUUAAAAAUAUUAAAAAUUUUGCAGGACAAUAAAUAAAAAUUGAAUUUUAUAAGAAUAUAUUUAUGAUUCAUUAUAUUUGCUUGGACCGGUAUGCAUUUAAUCCUAUACAAAAUUAUCUAAAAUAAUUUAGUUGAGGGGCUAGUUCAUGAUUCCUAUAGUUGACGGGGGGGUCUCUGUACAUUUUUGACCUAAAAAAUGAAUGAGUAGGUAGUCUUGCCUUUAUUUCCUCUCUGCUCGCUGACACAUCAUAAUGCUGUCCCGGCAAGGCUGCGUUAAACUCUCUGCACAACAAUUAAAAAAAAAAAAAGAAAAGAAAAAAGAAACUGAUGAUGCACGAAUCUUAAAGCACAAUACGGAAAUUGGUGAGGUUAGUAUGAGAACCAUCAACCAUUUUGAUUUGACUAUUCAAUCUUUGAAAAUUUUAAUUUUAUUAUCCAGCAUUCAAGUUGUUUGAUUUGAAUCAGUCGUCGUCGAUACUUUAACUUCAAAAUUUAAGCUAAUUAUUUACUUUAAUAAAUAGAUUAACUUCAUGUAGGUCCCUGCAAACACAAUGAAUGACAAAUAUAUCCCGACAAAGUUCAACUUUUAUAUAUUGUCUCUGCAAAAGUCCCGAUAUUUUCAAAUAUAUCCCUACUGUUAGAAUCCAUUAAAAAAAUUUAAUUAAUCAUAGGUUAAGUACUUAACCCUGGUUAGUUUUUGAUAUUUUUAUCCCUCUUAUAUUAUAAUGUUAUGUCUUUUGAAGGAAUAUAUUUGUGACGACCAAAUUGAAAAUAUAAAUAGUUCUCUAACGGUAACAAAUCAGAGGGACAUAUUUGAAAACAUUAAAACUUUUGCAGGAGUAAUAACAUAUGAAAGUUGAACUUUAUAAGAAUAUAUUUGUCAUUCACUAUAUAUAUGUUUAUAGAGGGACCUAUAUGAAAUUAAUACUUAAUAAAUUUAUGGUUGCCAGAAUUGCAUGUAAUAUACUAAUUAAACCUAUAUUUUGAAGUAAAAAUAUUGUUGACUGAUUCAAAUUAAAUUAAAAUUUUUAUAUAUUAUCUAGUCAAAUAAAAAAGAUUCGAUAGUUUGAAUAAGUUUUGUAUGUUUUUACUUUAAAAAUAAAUGAAGAAAGAUAGGGAGAAUUUUCAACGUGAGAUCAUAUUAUUCGCCGUCCGUCACAUGAACAGAAUGGCAGAUAAGGCAGUCUCACAUUACAUUACGGUCCUCUCUGCCAAUUUUUGGUAAAAAUGUAUGGUGACCCCUUAACUAUAGCCUGUUUUGAAAUGAACCCCUCGAUUUUCUUUUUUUUGGAUUAAAAUACCUUAACUUCUAAGUUUUUAAGAAUUAAGUAAUUUUAGUAAAAUAUAAAUAGAAAAACUUCAAAUACCAUUCUUGUGGUUUCGCAAUUUCUCACUUUAGUACCUUAUGAUUUAAAGUGUAUCUGUUUCGUACUCUAUAGUUUUAUUUUUCUCUUUUUGUUAUCCCCUCCACUAAUUUGUUUGUUAAAUCAGUGACAAAGUUAAAAUUAAAAUAUACUAAAGUGAAUAUUCGAUAAAAUAUAGGUGGAGUCUCUGAAGUUUUUUGUAUAUGAUUUAACAAAAAGUUAACGGAGGAGCUGACAAAAAGAGAAAAUAAAACCAUAGGGUACUAAUUUGAUACAGUUUAAGCCACAUACUACUAAAAUAAGCAAGUGCGAAACCAUAGGAGUGAUAUUUGAAGUUUACCCAAUAUAAAUUAGAAAUCUAAGCAAAUCAUUAGUAUUUCAUCGAAUUCAUGACUUCAAUUCAGUGAGUUAUUAAAUUUGAUAAAAUUUUUAACAUAAUUGAGCACAAAAACUCAAUUAAAAAAAUAGAACUUGAAGGGAUCUCAAUUAAAAAAAAAACAAAGCAAAACAAAAAAAGAAAAGUUGAGGGGACUAUUUCAAAACAGCAUAUUGUUAAGAGGGUCUCCAUUCAUUUCCCUAAAUUUUCUACUAAUUGGAUAAGUUUAUUAAAUGUAUUUAUAUAUAAAAAAAAACUUACUUGCAAAAGAUAACAAAAUUGAUAUGAAAAUCUUCGAAUGUUUUUAUUUCCUUGUCCUUAAAAUAUCUCUCAUAGACUUGAUUUGUCGCUGCUGCAUUAAUCCCUGGAAGACCUGUAAAAAUAUAUAUGAAGUAUGUUUAUUUAUAUAAACAUUAGAAAAAUAUUGGCUUAAAACAAAAUAUAGCAUCUAAAAAAUAGUGAAUGAGAAUAAGAGAGACAAUAAUUUGAUACGAGCGAAAAGCUUAAAGCUGUCAGAGAAUCGUAUCUUAAUAUUUUAUAUGUAUAUCCAACACUGCACCUCUGAUAUGCGAAGCUAGCAAGGUAUAUAUUUAUUUUGUAUAUUGUUGUUUGUUUUUAUUUUAGGCUAAAUUACAGAAAAUUUUUCUGUCACUAUCCACUUUUUCAUUUUCCUCCUCUGUCAUUCAAAAAUCGAUACUUUGCCUUCUUAGAAAAUGAAAAAUGUUCAUUUUGACCCCCGUCGUGAGUGCUUCGUUAGAGUUCCGUUUAUAUCAUAUUUUAUAUAUCCAAAAUAUCCCUGAAACGACCCUCCUCCUUCCUCAUCCUCGGCUGCGCCGCCUUGCCCUCCGCCGCGCCGCCUCGCCCUUCGCUGCCUCGCCCUCACCCACCUCUCUGUCCGUGCCCACACACACGCCCUCACCCUCACUCUCCCCCAUCCCGAAGAAGAUGAGGGGCAAUUUGAUUAUUUUGUUACAGCAUACUCCCUGUGAAAAUUUUUUAUUUUUUAUGAAUGUAAAGUGUAGGUUUUUUUAAUGACAUAGGAGAAAGUGAAAAGCAAAUAUUGACAGGUAGAUUUUCUAUAAUUUAACCUUAUUUUUAUACAUUGUAUGGUAUAUGUUAGAGAGAGUAAGGCUUGCAAUUCAACUCGCUGUUCGAAAGCUAACUCGUGUUUGGACCUAGAAGGAUUAAAGAGAGUAAUAAAAGAGAAUUUAGUGAUGCUAAAUAUUUGUGUAAUUUAGCCCAUUUUAGGCACCUAAAAUUAUACUAAAUUAAAACAGAGAGAAUAAAAUAAACCAAAAGCCUAGUGUGAUUUAAAAACUUAAGCUGCAAUGAACAACCUUGUUUCCAUAUGUUAAAUUUGGUUUUUUAGACAUAAAGCUACAACAUCACUUAUCAUUGAAAAAUGUUAAUGAAGCAUAUAGCUAAAAACAAAAUGAUCCAGUGUAGUAUAUAUAUAUAUAUAUAUAUAUGUAGAAACAUGCAUAAAUGUACUAAUUUACUCAAAAUAUCAUAGAUGAUAAAAGAGGGGGAAAAGUAAUAAAAAAAGGGAAAAAGAAGGGGUUUAUGUUGAUCUUACCAAAUUUACCCAACAAGCUCAUGGGUAAACCCAUUGAGGCCUAAUGUGGGGAAGAAGAGGAGGAAAUAUCACAAAUAAAUGAAAUAUUAGGGUUUGUGUACCUUAUAUUGUAUAGGAGUUAUUGUGUGUGUAUAUAUAAACAAGGAAGAGAGAGAGAGAGAGAGAGAGAGAGAGAGAGAGAGAGAGAGAGGAAGUUUGGAAUGCAUUCCUUUCCCCUCUCCUAGUCACACUCUUUGUUUAGAGAAAUUAUUCCAUGGACCAAUUGUAUAUAUUCAUACGCUUGAUGCACCACAUAAAGCAUUUUAAUCUACACGUCACAUACAUGAACACCGAAGACGUACGAAAUACGACAUGACUCGGAUAUGGCGAACUCAACAGUUUAAAAACAAAAAUUAAAACAUGAACACUGCGUGAAUACUGCUAAUAAAGUAUAAUAUUAUUAAUGUAAUAAUAAUUUGUAUUUAUUAUAUAUAAAAUAUUUAGUUUACUAAAAUAAUAUUUUAUUUUUUAUACUAGUGAAAGUUACUUAAUAAACUUUCAUUGAUAGUUCAUAUAUUUUCUAAAAAAAUUCAAAAAAAUUCGUCACCAUAUAUAAUUUAUUUAUAUUAUUUCAAAAAAUUUAUAUGUAUUCAUUAAAAGUUAAAAUAUUAAUUAUCUUAUAUUAUAUAUAUAUAUAUAUAUAUAUAUAUAUAUAUAUAUAUAUAUAGUUGAGCUAGAAUACUAUUGAUAGCAAACAGGUCUCAUUGCCACCCAUUUGUUUUCAAUGAUGGAGCCUCUAAAUUGACGAUCGGCACCGUUGAACAUGAUCUAUACCAGUUGAAGUGUUUAGAAAUCAAAUUUCAAAUCUUUUCGACAUCAUUUGCCUAAUGAUCAAAGGGUUUCAAAAUUUGUAAUUUUAAUGGUAGAUUUGAGGCGUUUUCUCGUUUAACGGCGCAAAGAUAUCCAAAUCAAUUGAAUUUUUGUUAGAAAAUUCUUUAAACUAUUUAAAACAAGAUCUAUACUCUUGAUCUUGAUUACAAGACUCCUAUCAUCACUUUUUAAAGAAUAUUCAGUUUCAACCGUUCAUUUUUGUGUCCACUCGAUGGAUAAGAGAACAAUAUCGAAAAUAUAUGAAAUUUGAUUUCUAAACACUUCAAGUAGUAUAGAUCAUGUUCAACGGUGUCGAUCGUCGAUUUGGAGGCUCCAUCAUCGAAAACAAAUGGGUGGCAACGGAGCCCAUUUGCUAUCGAUAGUAUUCUAGCUCAACUCUAUAUAUAUAUAUAGAAUUAGGUUGGAAAACUAUUAAUAGUAAAACGCUUUUUUUGCUAUCAAGUUUUUAACCCUUGGAUGAAAAAUUAUAGGGUCAGAAUGAUAUUAGUCGGUUAGAGUUGAGUGGUCCUCCUAGGGUUGAGUGGUCCCCACUGGGUUAUAGUAUUUAAUCCAAUGGUUAGAAAUAAUGAAAAGAGUUGAUUCAAAAGCAAAAAAACUGGUAGCAAUAAUAAAAUUUUACUACUAAUAGUAGCCCAGUCCAACUCUCUCUCUCUCUCUCUCUCUCUCUCUCUUUAUAUAUAUAUAUAUAUAUAUAUAUGCAUAAAAAAAGUGAAAUAAAAAAAUUUCAUAGGAAUGCGCCAUGAACGCACAUCCAUGGUGGGUUUGCGUCAAAUACGAGUCUAGCACGAACAAAGAUGUGUCCGACACGGACAUGCGCGACAUGUAACCGCGUCAUAAUACAUAGAUUUUAAUAAUUUACACCUUAAAUUAAAAUUUAAUUUGAUAGAUGUUAUAUAAUUUACCAUAUAAUAUUUAUAAAGCUAAGUUUAUAAUGGGACAUUAUCCAAUUUAGGAAGUAUUCGUGUCUAAAAUUUAUAAAUUUUUUUAUACAUAAAACACAUUUUCCUCAUAAAAUUUAUUAGGUGUGGCGUAUGAGAUGUGCUUAUACACCCGGUGCAGUGAAUAGUUUCUUCCUUUUUAAGAGGCUAAGUUGUGCUUUGAUACGUGACCUGUUGGGGAGGUUUCCUUGUUAACCUCUGCGUGGAGAACGUAGGAAUACGAUUCCGGCUAACUGAAGUGUAAUUACAUUUUUACCCCUGAAUCAUUAUUAUUAUUAGGGAAAACUUCAAAAAAACCCCGUGGUUCCACACUUUUUUAUUUUAGUACCUUGUGGUUUAAAGUGUAUCAAGUUAGUAUCCUGUGGUUUCUCACUUUAUCACUUUAGUAUUCUGUGGUUUAAAGUGUAUCAAGUUAGUACCCUGUGGUUUUAUUUUUGUACCAAGUUAGUACCCUGUGGUUUUUAAACCACAAGGUAUAAAGUGAUAAAGUGUGAAACCACGGGGUACUAACCUGAUACACUUUAAACCACAUGGUACUAAAGUGAAAAAGUGCAAAACCACAGGGUACUAACUUGAUAUAUUUUAAACCACAUGGUACUAAAGUGAAAAAAGGUGAAACCACAAGGGGGCGUAUUUGAAGUUUUUCCUUAUUUUAUUAUUAUUAUUUUAGAGAGAUAGGUAUCAUUCUACCUGCUUAAACUUAGUUAGAAAUAUAAAUCAAGUAGAAUUUGAACUUGGAACCUCGGGUACCAACCACCAAACUCUUUGCCACUUGCGUUAGGGACGUUUCGGUCUCCAGAGUCAUUAUUACUGCGUUUGGUUGGCGAACUAAGACUUCGUUUGAAAUUGCAAGAAGAUUACGUUACGUGUUGUGAGAAAAUACGAUGGAAAAAUACUCUAUUUGCCACUUGCGCUAGGGACGUUUCAGUCUCCAGAGUCAUUAUUGCUGCGUUUGGUUGGCGAACUAAAUUUCAUUUGGAAUUGCGGGGAGAUUGCGUUACAUGCUAUGAGAAAGUACGAUGGAAAAAUAUUCUAUUUGUUUCCGUACGUAAUAUUACAUUCCGCAUAUUGCGAUGAGUCGGUUAUAAUAUAUUUUUUGCGAUCUCACCGGAGAAUGUAGAAAUAUAUCUCUAUAUAUUUUUACCCCAACUCCAUUUUAUCUAAUGUAUUCAGAUAGGCCCCAAUAACAAACUAAGCCAAAAUUUUGGAGAACAACUUUUACUGUUUCCAUCGACCGUUCCUAGAGCAAGUAGCAAGGGCUUGGUGGUUGGUACUCGAGGUCUCAAGUUCGAAUCCUAGUUGAUUCACAUUUCCAGCUAAGUUUAUUUCUAAAUGAAAUAAACGAAGUGGGUAGCAUGCAACUCGUUUUGAUCUGAACAAUCCGUUUCCCCUAGUUCUUCCACCGUUUCGUUACAAAUUUGGGGAUAUCCCUGGUGUCAAAUGCAGCCUAUAAGUACUACAUCACAAGUGGGGAUGUUAAUGGGUACGGAUACCCGAAAUCUUAUCCGACCCUGAAUCCGAAUAGGGUGGAUUUUAUCCGAUAUUAAACGGAUAUGGUUUCAAAUAUAGAUAUCAAAAAUAAAAAUCUGAAGGAUAUGAAUUCAGAUAUGGAUUUUGACCGAACCCGACCCGAAUCCGAACCCGAACCCAACCCGACCCGAAUCCGAAAUUAGUUUAUAUUAGUGUUUGAUUCUCAAAAAAAAAAAAAAAAAUCCAAAUAGACUGUUUUUUAAUCUCUCUCUCUAAACAUAUAAAUCUAUAACGAAUACUUUUCUAAAUCCUAAAUCCUAAAUUCUUAGCCUAAACCAUCAACACAUUUAUAUGUAGAAAGAUAUCAAUGCUAUUUUAUACUUUGAAAAGGAAUUUAUAAAAUUACCAUUUUUGAGGAGAGUACGUAAUGGUAGUAGUGCAACCCAAAAUUCCAAGGGCUAAAAGUUGGGUUUUGUUUUAUCAACUUUUUUUUUUUUAAUAAAUAUUAAAAAUCUAAAAAUUUUACAAACACUUAGUUGAAGGGAUGUAAACUAUAUAUUUUAAAAUUUAAGCUAACUACUCACUUUUAAAAAUAUAUAGUUACAAAAAAAUAUAAAAUAUACUAACUAAAUAUGUAAAUAUAAAUGACAUAUUUAACUUCUGAAGUUAAAGUAUCAUUGACCGACUCAAAUCAAACAAUUCAUUAAAACUUAGAAAAGUUGAAAAGCCAAUUCAAAAUUAUCUAUAAUUCAGCUAUUAUCUAUAAUUUAGCGAGGUUCUACAGUACGUCUCUUGUGCUUUUGAAAGCAUGAAAAUCUCUGUACUUGUAAAUUAUUUUUCAAUGAUGGGACAUCCAAUUUAACGAUCGACUCCAUUAGACAUGAUCUACGCUAUUAGAGCUAUUUACAAACCAAAUUUCAUAAUUUCUGACAUUUUUUACCGGGUGAUCAAAUGGUCUCAAAAAUAAUUAUUUUAAUGGUCAAUGUAGCGCGUUUGUAAGUUCAACGGUGUAAAACAAUCUAAAGUAGAUGAAACUUUAAUAAAAAAUUCUAUAUUAUAAUAUCAAGAGGAAGAUCAAUACUUUCGAUUUGAAAUUUAAAACUUUCAUUUGUAUUUUUUUAUAGAAUUAUUAUUUACAAUAGUUCAUUUUGAGGCUUGUUCAUUAGACAUACGAAGUCAAAAAAUUAUAAAAUUUAGUUUAAUUCUAGAUAACUUCGACAUUGUGGAUCAUAUUUAACGGAAUAGAUCGUGAAAUCUGGUGUUCUAUCAUGGAAAAUAAUUUGCGAGCACUAAAAUUUUAGUGAUUUUUAGUGAUUUCCAAAGCAUAGCAGCAUAGCUCCUAAAAUUUGAAGCGUAGAAAUUAGCCCAAAAAAUUAUGAAAAAACUGCUUUUACAGAGAAGUUUUUUUUUUUUUUUUUUUUUUUUUUUUUUUUUUUGCCAGAAACAGUUUCUGAAAUAUUUAUUAAAAAGAAAAAAUAUAUAUAUAAAAAAAUUAAUUUUAUACAGGUUCAUGUAAAUAUAGUGAGUUGUAAAUAUAUUCCUACAAAGUUUAAUUUUUAUAUGUUGUCUCUAUAAAAAUCUUGAUGUUUUCAAAUACCCGCUUGUUUGUUACCGUUAAAGCAUUAUUUAUUUUAUAAAUGAAAUGACCUUUUUGCCAUCACAAAUAUAUUCCUCCAAAAAUUUCAACUAUUAAUUGAAUAGGAAUAGAAAGGUCAAUUCACCUCAUUAACUAGAAUUAAAUAUUUUAUCUAUGGUUAAUUAAUUUUUUCUAACAUAUCCUAAUGAUAGGGAUAUUUUUAAAAAUAUCAGAACUUUUGUAAAAAUAAUAUAUAAAAAAUUAACUUUGUAGAAUUAUAUUUGUAAUUUACUGUAUUUGCAGCUCCCUCUUAAAAUAACCCUAAAAAAAAGGGUCGGCAAAAUUUCCCGCUUUCUAAUGUACUCCGCUGUUAUUUUUGUUGCCCCAAAAAUGCAAUACAUUAGAAGAGGUGAUUCUCCUCCUCCUCCCCGUCUCCUUUUUUUUUUUUUUUUAAUGCCAUAAAUAAAUAACAUCUUUGAUUUCUUCUCCAUUGAUCAAAUUUCUCCUUUUUUUUUUAAUGCCAUAAAUAAAUAACAUCUUUGAUUUCUUCUCCAUUGAUCAAAUUUCUGGUUCAAUCGCAUGAAACUCAGAUGCAGAUCGAUCUUCGCUGCGAAUCGCUUCUCAGCUUCCCCGCCUCCGAUUCUAACCUGGCACUAGGGUUUCAGUCACUGUUACAUUGCUGAAACAUUUAUUUUAACUGGUCAAUUAUUAGGGUUCUGUCCUAAAUAAACAUUUGACUCUGCACAUUUAAGCUGCAUCUUGAAUCCUAUGGCUAUUUUAAUCACUGCUGUCUCAGUUAUUUUGGUUUUGUUCUUUGAAGGAGAUUGAAUGUGGUACCUAUUUUUUGCCAUGUUAGCACCAAAUUAUGUUUUCCGUCCCGGUAAACCCGCUUUUCGUCAAUGUCCGUCAAAAAUUGGAAAAAUUUUGGGGAUUGAUUACUGUUAACCUAGUUAAAGGUUAGUUGAAUACUUGAAUUAAUCUUUUAUAGUAUGCUAGCUAUAGUUUGCCGUGUGUGAAUUGUUCUUAUUCAUUGUGUUUAUAAUUACAUUGAGAUUUUGGAGGAGUCGAAGUCGAAAACGCAGUGAUGAUUUGGGAAAAAUUUAUUAUUGUAGAUCGUAGAGUAUGGCUUUUUGCAUAAAAGGAUCUUCCGAGCUCGUUAUGCUUGCUUUAUUAUAUCACGGUUUUGCUUGCUUUAUCUGUUAGCAGUUGCAGUGAUUGUAAAGAUGUCCAACAACAUUUGUGCUUUUAUUUGUAAUUUAAAUUUCGGUAUCAAAUGCUAGUUAAUGUGUUGACUAGUAAAGUUCGUAACCAAAACACUCUAUGUAAUCGAUCUUGGACGCAUUAUAUCAACAUUGCGACGUUUUAAUUUGUUUUUGUUUUGCUUGAAAAGAUUAGCUUGCGAUGUUUCUUUCCCUAAUCAGGGUUACUUUUUCUUGCUAGGAGAUAUCUAUUUCUUUAGAGGCUGAAGCCGAGUUAUCUAUCACUACUCGGUCCAUAUUUAAGUAUAAUGUGUUGCUACUUUCGGUAAAUGCAGCGGACCAAUUUGUAAUGGCCUCCCUGUCCUUGAUGAUCAUUCUCUGCUCACUACAAUGAAGUUUUGUCUUUUCUUCUUUUGUUAGGAUGCCGCGCGGAUUAUCAAACUUCGAACACAAAAUUGUCCUGAUUCGAUCAAAUUUCAGUAUCAUGGCGCCCUCAAGAAGCACACUGAAGGACCAAAGCAGCGAAAAGAAUGAGCAGACUUCUAUCAGGUGGGUCUCCCUUGUGUAAUUUCAUUACUUCAUCAACAUUUUUGAGUUUGCAUUUGUCAAAUAGAAAGAGAGAAAGGGAAAGGACAGCGGAUAUAGACAAAGCAACCCACUGACAUAUAUUUCACGUUACUAUACAUUCAUUCGCUAUUUAGUUUCUUGAGCGAAUGAAUUUCGGCUUAUAAAUUCCGUUCUUUCCUGAGAAAUUUAAUCACUUUUAGAAUGAGCUAAGUCAGGAACUGUGUUUUUCGACUAUUACUGCUGUUCUUAUCAUCAUGGAUAAUCAACAUAAAUCAUACUUUUGUUUUGGGUUGUCUUGGACACUGUCAUGCUUUUAGAUCUUUGAGGCUUAUAAUAUUUGCAAGCUCAAUUUCGCAUAAACAAGCAUGCAAAUAUUUGUUCACCGAGGUAGAAUGGCCAAAACCAAUAUUAGUUUGGUGUAUAUUGGCCGUGCUAAAGAAGAGACUUAUCUUAAGGAACCAUUGUUUUGAUCAAUGAGCAACCUAAGAAGGAGGUGGGCGUGAAUUAGUGAGCAAUUGAAAAAUUGAGUGCUCCAUUUUAAUUGUUGAACAAGCACAAAUAUUAAUAUAUCAUUCCGAAGUCUGGAAGGACCUAGUCUGAAAAUCUGAAUAUCCAAUCUGCGGUGGUUGACUGUCCCGGCCAAUUGCUGUGGAAAUAAUUAGCUGGCUGAGGGGUAAAAAAUUUCUUUUGUUGGUCAACCGGCCUGACGGAACGAGGAUUGGAGUUUGGCCAUUUCGAUUGAUCAACAUGCUUCUGACUUGUUUCAACAGCUCCUUCUCAGCCAAUAUUUUAUCAAAUUUGAAACUAAUUUCGGCGCAUGAACAAGUAAUGGAACGAGAAGAUAGUUAAAAGUUGGGAGAGUAUGUUAAUAGAGUUCAAGUUGCGUAAAUUUGAGUAGAAUUCUUAGACUUAUCUAAGAUUUAUCUUUACAUCAGAAUCUAUCUGAAAUUUGAAAUUUUGACCUCAUAUAAUUUCUAGCGUCCCUAUGAAUCAUCUAGUGGCCGUCUGAUCCAUUUGCUUGGACCUCAAGGCUCCGACUCCUUGAUGCUUCCUUCUCUUAAAUUGUUUUAUUGAUUUUGUUGCGAAAGACCAGCACCGAACACCAAGUUCAUAGGGCAGAAAAGAGAAGAAAGGAAGAGAAGAAAAGAAAAUGAACAGAACAAUGAAAUUAUGUGGCUUGGAUCUGAUGCCUACAACCGUGGGUGAAGGAGCGAAGAUUCCGUAUUAUAGUGAAUAAUUGGAUUCAAAAAGACGACAAGCUUGCAGAAAACGUGGCCUAAGAACAUCGUGUGCUCCACAUGAGUAAUAAUUCCUAUGAAAAGGGGCAUAAGUACCAUAUAAACGAUUCCAAAUAGGGUCAACAAAACUCGUGAAUAUAAGGUUGAAUCUGAUAUUUAUAGCCUGAAAAGGUACGAAGCGAAGACAAAUGAACAUGCUGCUGUACCAAUGUGUGACCUGUAAUGCAAACCAUCUCUGCCUUGAGCAUAGCUUUGUGUCUGCUAUGUUAGGAUUGAUUCUCCUCUGUAAAAUGUUAUCCAAGUCUAUGGUCACUGAAUCCAGAAUUUCAUCCAUGGGUUGCCUGAAAAUCUCCUAAAAGUUUCUCUAAGGACUUGAGGACUUAUAGAGCAUUGUUUACAAAUUUGCUCAUAAAAAGAAGGAAUCUGCUUUCAUAAUCAUUGUCGACGGGAUUUUUUUUGGCUAAGCUAUGACGGGCAAACUUCCAAGUAUUCAAGUUUGGAUUGUUGAUUGAUCUAUCUAUGUUCUUUGGCAGUCUAGAAAGAUUCAACUUGACCGUGAUGGUUUGAACGUUGCAUCUGUCAUCAUCUGAUGGAAGUUGGUGAAUAUUUUUUAAAUGAAUAUCUAGUUUGAUCGAUCGAACAAUGUUAUUGAGCACAUAAUAUUGAGGAAGUUUGAUUUGUUCCACUAGGUUGAUUAAUCAGAGUAUCAAACCGGGCAAAAUAUUAGAAUUUAACAGAAGUAGAGCUAACUGCCAUUGAUCUUAGUUAGUGAGUAAUAUUUCAGAGUUGGAGAUCCUAUAUUAUUUGCAUCUUAGCUCUAAUCCAAUGUAUAAGAGUGUGUUGUAAGCAUUGUUGUUCAAAGGGCUAUUCUACUCUGCGUAAUGAAACUAGUUGUGGGGGGAUGUUAACAGAUACGGAAACCCAACAUCUUUACCUAAUUUUGAAUCUGAAUGAGCUAGAUUUAACCAAAAUCAGAUGGGAAUGAAUUCAAUUAUGUCAGCAACAAUCCGGAUUCUAGCAAGUUCUGUUUUGAUUACCCGAAUCAAACCCAAAUACAAAACUAUGCCUGAAUCCAAACCCGUAUACAAACCGUUCUCUAGGGCUUGAUUUAAUAUAUUUCAUUGAAUAAUUGUGUUCAGUUAGGGGAUUCACGUAUGACUUUUUUGAAGUGGGUUCACUUUUGGUUAUGGAUUUUUAAAACUGUUUGAUUUUGUUUAUGGUUUCGGGUUUUCGGGGUUGGAUUUUGGUUUUAGUUUUAGUCUUUCUAAAAAUCACCUGAAUCGGACCUGUUGACAUCUGUAACCAGUGUCCAGAAGUCUUCUUCAAUCUUGUAUCUCUGCUAUUUGACACACUGAAAGUAAACUCACAUGUGGUGUAACGGAAUUUUCAACACAUAAGAAGACUAACAAAAUGAGUGUAAAAGGUUUCAGAUCCUCUGUUGGGUACAUAACUGCAUAUACAACUUGCAUAGUUGAAUAAGACAUUAGAUAACAUAUAAACACCAUUCUAGACUUGACAGAUUGGUGAUUCAGUAAUUGAUGCUCAAGGAGUAUCAAGCUUUUUUGCUCAAGGGAUGGGGUGAGAAAAUUAUCCUCACACCAUCAAAAGAAAAACUCGAAAAACUAAAAACUACUACUAAGUUGUCGCAUUUGAUGCUUAAGGAGUAUCGAGCUUUUCUACUCAAAAGAUCAUGUGAGAAAAUUAUCCUCGCAUAAGAAAGUUUCAAAGUAGAAAACUCCUGCAUCAAAGCUUCAAACCAGAAAAAAUAGUAGUCUUCUACAUUUUAGCCACUAGAGAAGAAUAUGUAAUGUCAAGCUCUCCCGAUCUUGAGGCUAUCUAUGAAGCUCCUCUGGUUUUUGAUCUUCCAGUGAAGAUAGUCAAGGUAGUCUCUAAAGCUGCUGUCUUCGUAUCUUUUUGGCUGCUGCCCAUCUAACAGCUCUUUGGCGGUGCUAACCUUCUCGUCAAUGGAAAGACCGUGAAUGCUGGCUAUUGAGAUCCUUCUAGUGUCGGGGUUGAGAACCACUCUGUGGAUUAGAGUCUUGAACUCACCAUUACUCAGCACCUCUAGAUGGUCACCUAUAUGGACAUGAAGGGCCUCGGGCUGGUGUGGGACUGCUCUCCAGCACUUGUCGUCGUGGUCCAUGACCUCGAGGCCGUUGCAGCUCUGGAGCAGGAUAGUAAUGAAGCCAUAAUCAGAAUGGGGAAACAACCCAACCAUGACAUCUGGCUGGGAAAACUGGGGAUAACCAUUUACUGCCAACAUUUGCAUGCCCUCCUCGAGCUCCUUGCGCAGGUAUGCCGGGCCCAGUCCUAGGCUUUCUAGUAUUGCAUCCAUCAGUUGCAACGCUAGUUUCCUGGCUUCAAUAGCAAACAUUCCCAUCUUUUCCCUGAUCGAAGGAAACACUAAGCCCUAUGAGUUAGGCUUAUAUGUUUUCUCACAAUUGAUAUAUGAAAGAAAACAUUAGUCUUUCAAUGUUGGGUAGUAACUAGCAUGUAUACCUGUAACUUGGUGGUUCUGCAGGCCACAAAUGGAUCCAAUCGCUAAGAGGGUGAGCAUAGUGCUUCAGGAAAGAUCUUGCCUUUCCGUCCUUUGUGCCCGUCUCGUAUCUAACUGGUCUGCGGAUGUCAUCUGACGCAAAUUGUCCCUUAGCCUCUUUCGAUAGUGCAAAGAAGUCGGAAGCAGCUUCAAGAGCACCUUUCAUGACUGAUUGGCUAAUUCCAUGGUUUACUACCUGCAUAACAAAGCUAAAUUUGAAUUCCGUGUUAUUCUCCACAUGUUUAUAAAUGUUGGUUGUUUAUCGUUUUAUUUAUCUCCAAGUAGCUACUGAACUUCUUAUUAACUAGCACACUGGCAAUUAACUUUUAGAAAGUUGGCAAAAGCCUUUAUACAGUCGGAGAUUCUCCCUUAUCAUUUCUUGCUAUUUGUGUCUUUGUCAGAUCGUGCUGUUAUACUCUUUACAGUGAAUAAUUGCAUAUGUUUAUGUACAAUGAACAACCAUUUACGCCAACCAAUUUCUACUGUAGGAACAUCUCAAGCUGAUGAUGUUUAAUUUGUUUACAGCAUGUAGACACCUGGGUGGUAUGUAAUUGACAGUUGCAUUCUACAAGUACUGUUCUAAUCUUAAGCAAGUGUUUCUGUACAAUGAAAACUACAUAAACCGAUGGAGUUUGAAACUAGAAACAACUCAAGCUGAUGCUGUUUAAUUUACAGAACAUAUAUAAAAUCUUGGUGGUAGCUAGCUAGUCGACGGAUGUGCAUGUUGGUACUGUUGGCGUCUUUUGCGAUCUUCUCUCAACAAGUUUGCCGCAUAAAAUACCAUGUGGUGAUGGGCUAAUCGUAACCAUGUGGUUACGUACAAUGAGACCCAUUUACACUGACAAAGUUCUGCGCUGGAAAUAUCUCAAGCUAUGCUGUAUUGUUGAGAGAUCUAGACAUCUUUGUUGUAACUGCUCGGCAGAUUUGCAUGUUGAUGGUGUUGGUGUCCUUUGGAGCCUCUUCUCAACAAGUUUACCACAUAAAAUAUCAUGUGGUGAUGUGCUAAUUGUAAGCAUGUAGUUCUGUAUAAAACCAUUUACGCUAACAAAGUUCCACAAUGGAAACAUCCGAAAGCUAUGCUGUUUUAUUUGCAGAAUCUGAACAUCUUGGCGGCAGGCGAUCGACGGAUGUUCGUGUUGGCGGUGUUGGUAUUUUCCGCAGUUUUCUCUCUACAAGUUUAUACAUAAAAUAUCAGGUGAUGCACUAAUCUAAUCCUGUUUUUGUGUAGAGUGAAAACCAUUUCAACAGCAAAGUUCCAGUGGAAACAUGCUGCUUCAUCUACAGAACCUAAACAUAUUGGCGAAGGCUGUCGACAGUUGUGCAUGUUUGGUGCAUUCCGUAGUCUCCUCUCUACAACCUUACCACAUAAAAUAUAGAACGGUAAUGUGCUGAUAUUAAGUAAUUGUGUUUACAUACAAUGCAAACCAUUUACAAAGAUUCAAGUUGACGUUGUUUAUCACAGAACCCAAACAUCUCGGUGAUACACAAUCGAUGGAUGCAUGCGCACGAUGGUGUUGACGCCUUUCGCCGGUAUCCUCUCUACAAGUUUAUCGCAUAAAAUACCAUAUUGUGCUGUGCUAAUUGUUAUCAUUUCUCUUGUAUCAUCUGCAGAAAGUGUUGAAAGUGUGUACUGAAAAACACGCUUGCCGACUGUUUCAUCAACAUGAACGUAGAGAAAGUUUCAUUCGUUUGCGGCAUGUAGCAGACAGCUAAGAUAUGCUAAACUGUCAACGUGAAGGGAAGGAAGAAAAGAAGCAUACAUUACCUGGAAAUACCCGUGUUUCCGGCACGCCUUAGCGAUGUCUUUGAGCAUGAGAGAUCGUUGCGCGGAACUCUGGUUAAGCCUGCAGAGGUCGACGACCGGUAUCUGCAUCGGCUUAGCUUUAGCUCCAACCGGAAUUGGAGAAGGGAUGCUCUGCGGCAGCGCGCUCAAGGUUGCUGCUAGUGCUUCUGCUUCUGCUUCUGAGCACUGCUAUGUUCUACAGGAGAGUGCAAUAUAUGAGGCUUAUGGACAAUGCUCAGAUGGGGUGUGGGAUAUUUAUAGGCUUCGUGUGGCAGCUACUGAGCACUGCUAUAUUCUAUGCAUAGUAAAUGUAGCCACUAGCUUAGCUUGUGGAGGGGAAAUGCUUUGCAUGUGAACCUCAAAGAAGCUGUGGGGAGAAGCUGUUGCUUUUGGGUCCAGGAGCAGAUCCCAGGAGCCACUCUACCUUCCAAAUAAGCUAUUUUCUUGUGUCCUUUUUCUAGUUUAACUACUAUUCUAUAUAGUAAGGAUAAGAUGUUUCUUUUUCUUUUUAAUUAUUUUGAGGAAGAUAGUGUUACUAUGCUUUCCACUUUGUGCUUCUUUUUCUAGAAAUAAAUUCAAAUAAAAAUAUAAAGCAAUUAAAUUUCAAACUUGGGCCAUCAAAUCUUUUUAGACUUUGUUUGGUUCGGAUAUAAAUAAGAAUUGUUUAUUCGAGAAAUAGAUACAAGUUCAGGUGUAAGUAAGAACUAAAUUAGUUUUAUGUUUGGAUGGAAAUUUGAUUGUUUUCGAGAAUAAAAAAAAUAGCGUUUGGAUAGAUAAAAUGAAAUAAGAAAAAAUUAAAAUUUCAAAUCACAAAUUUCAAAAUUCAAAAGUUUAAUUUUAAAUUUAAGGUCAAAUUUAAAUUUUAAAAAUGUAAAACAUUAAAUUUUAAAUUUAAAAAAUUUAAAAUUUAGAAUUUAAAAAAUUAUAAAUUAUAAAUUUUGUAAUAAAUUUAAAUUUAUAAAUAUCUCUCUCUCUCUAGCUAAAGCUAGAACAAGCUUGUUCCACCUAAGGGGUGGGAACAGUAGUUCCCACCUCUCUUUUUUUUUCUUUUUUUUUUUUUUUUUUUUUUUUUUUUUGUUUGGGUACAAAGGAGGGAAUAAGAUCUUAUUCGAGCCAGAUUAUCCAUCAAGAUUGCUGCGAGAGUAUUCAUGUUCAUUGCAAAAGUUGGACAGUUCCCUUCUCUACCAGCUUCAUCCAGGAACUGUACAUCGUCAAAAGCCAUGAAUUCUGGUGGCUCUUCAAGUAUCAAUCAAGUAAAAUCUGCUGUACACACAUCUGGCGAAAAGAUGGUCAUUGCAACGUCAGUACAUAGCAUAUAGGCCUAGUCCCCAUCCAUCCUCUCUUAAGUAUUAUCUACCGUAGGGAUUUUUUUUUAAGUACUAAACAAAUAAAGAUCUUUACUUUCACUAGUACUUUUAUAACCUUCAAAUCUCAGGCAAAAAUAUAUCUCUAACACUUCCAUCGCUAAGCAUCGUAUACAAAGAUUGGACCGUGAACUUGUGUUCCUUAUUCCAUCGUCCAAAAUAUCUUAUCCGGUUCGUCAACAGCUUUUACCACCAAAGCAUGCGCUUGAGUUCCUAUACUGCCUAGUUACUACUUGACUCGCUGAAUUAAUCUCCUGAAAAUUUUCCUCCAUCUCCCAUCCUUUGCUAGCAUAAUAUUCUUUACAGUAACAUUCUUAAGCUCCACUUUAUCAUAAACCUCAGGUACUAAGAGAGCGUAACGAGAUUUCACCACACCAUAUAUCCGACAAAAGUCAAUAUGCCGGCCAAACUCACAAAUGAAGCAUCCCUAAGCUUAAUCACAUCAUCCACCACAUUGAGGCCGGGUUUAAAGGACUUUCCUUCCCUCUAGAGUUUUCUUCUAUUGCCUCAAAUGUUGAAAUCAAAAGUAUGUGAUCAAAAAACUCAUGACUCAAAGUUUAGGGACUAGUAAUGCAAUUAUAACAUACUACAUAUUAUAUAUAUAUAUAUAUAUAUAAUAAAUAUAUAGAGAGAGAGAGAGAGAGAGAGAGAGAGAGAGAGAGAGAGAGAGAGAGAGAGAGGGAGAGAGAGAGAGAGUAGUGCUACAAUACUCUUAUGAGUAUAGAGUCCUUCGUACUCAUAAGUUAUUUUCGAUGUUCGGGCUUCCGAAUCGACGAUCCACACCGUUAAACAUGAUCUAGAGUAUUUGAAACUUCUAGAAAAUAAAUUUCGUAACUUUUCAAAAUCAUUAUAAAGUCCAUCAAGCCGGUAUAAAAUGAACGGUCAAAAUCGAACGACGUCCUAAAAAUUGAUGAUCGGAUCCUUCAAUUUAAGAUCGGAGUUAUUGAUCUUUAUUUAGAUAGUGAAUAGAAUUUUCUAUCAAAAAUUCAACCUAUUCCGAUUUUUUUUCACUGUUAAACUAGCAAAUAUCUCAUACCGACCGUUAAAAAUUGUCAAUUUUGUGAGCUUUUGAUCGUAAGGUAAAUGAUAUUGAAAAAUUAUAAAAUUUGAUUUCUAAAUGCUCUAGAUAAUGUUUAACGGUAUAGAUCGUCGAUUCGGAAGUUCUAUCAUCGAAAACAACUUAUGAGUACAAACGUGAUCGUACUCAUAAGAGUGUAGUAGCCGGACUCUAUAUAUAUAUAUAUAUAUAUAGAGAGAGAGAGAGAGAGAGAGAGAGAGAGAGAACUAGGCUAGAAUACUAUCAAUAGCAUCAAGCUAUUGGUUCUAUUAAUUUUUUAAUCCUUGGAUUAAGAGAUAUGUGGUUAGGAUGAUGUGGGUCCGCUAGGGUUGAGUGAGUGGUUGGUUGAAUAGUAUAAUCUAACAGGUGGAAAUGAUCAAAGGGGUAGAUCUAUGCACAAAAUCAGAGUUUAACUAGUUAAAUAUGAUUGCCCAUCCCAUAAAGAACUCAAAAUUAUAGUUUAUUCAUCAUGUUGUUUUGUGACAUACAAAAAACAUGCAUGUGUGGUAUAAAAAUUAUUAUCAUCAUUAUUACGAUUUUCCAACCUGUUCAUGGUGCACACGACGCUUAACAUUAAUUUUUUUUAUUAGGACAUGUGCUAGUGUACGUUUUUUUCGCAUUAAUAAAAUUUAUCAUUAGAAGUUGCCGAGUAAAUUAAAAGAGAAAUGCUAAGCUUAUAACUCAAAUUGAUAGUAAUAUCUACAAUUCUUAUGUGGGUUGUUUGACUAUCUACAAAAGAGAUUUUAGAGUCAAUUUUGUUUUUCAAUAAAAUAUUUGAUAAUUCUUUUUUUUUUAAAAAUAAUUCUAUAUUUUACGAAACUUAUUUCUUGAAAUCCAAUUCUCUUAUUUCACCUAAAAAAAUAUUUUAAAAAGAGUAACAAAGUAAAUUCUUUUAAAAAAAAGUAUAGAAUGACAGAGUAAAAAAUGUGCUAAAUCACAUAAAUAGUUAAAUCUAAGUUUUUAAACUAAAGGGUGGCAAAAUAAAAUGCAUUAUACCAAAGGGGGCAAAGCACAACUUGACGAUUACCCUAUUUUAUUUAUUUUAAUUUUAAAUUUUGUACUAACUAUUACAUGCACGUUCCUGUAUAAUGCAUUGUACUGCUAAAAUGCAACCAUAGAGGACUCAUAUCAAAAUCAAAUUUUAGUUAGUUAAAUAUGAUCUAUAAUAUAUAAAAGGUUUAUAUAUUUUAAAAAUAACAAAUAUGAGGUAUACAUUUCAGUAAAGUAUAUGGUUGUCUCUCCCAACCCAUCAUGCACAUGGGUGCACAAAUGCAUGACACUCAUAAUAAUAACACAACCCAUAUAAAGAGGCUACUAUGCUUCUGAAAACACGGAGCCUUCCGUACUUUCAGGUCGUUUUUCAUGUUGCGACUUUCGAAUCGUCGAUCGGCUCCGUUAAACUUGAUCUAGAGUAUUUGAAGUACCUAGAAAAUAAAUUAUGCGAUUUUUCGAUAUUAUUUGCCUAGUGAACGAAGGGGCUCAAAACCAACAGCUGAAAAUAAAAAUCUUACAAAACGUGAUAAUAUGACAUUAAAAUUUUAGAUCAAAGAUAUUGAUCUUGCUUUAUAUAGUAUAAAGAAUUUUCUGUCAAAAUUUCACGUGAUUUGAAUAUUUCUACACCGUUAAACUUGCAAACGGCGGCUCACUAUGGCAAGUAAAACUAUUGAUUUUGAGGCCCUUCGAUCACUAGGCAAAUGAUAUCGAAAAAUCAUAAAAUUUAUUUUCUAGGUACUUCAAAUACUCUAGAUCAAGUUUAACAGAGCCGAUCGACGAUUCGAAAGUUGUAACAUCGAAAACGACUUGGAAGCACGGAAGGCUCCGUGCUUCCAAAAGUAUAUUAGCCUCACACGCUCAAAAUUAUAGUUCAUUCAUCAUGUGUUUUAUAAUAUGCAAUCAAAAAAACAUGUGCCUAAAGUAUAUAUAGUUUUAUUCAUCAUGCAUGUGUUUAUGACAUGCCAAAAAUGUGUGUAUUAAGUAUCAUUAUUUUUUGGCACAUGUAUUGGAUUAUAUGUAUUAUUAUAGUUUAUGAUUUUCCAACCUGUUCUUGGUGUAUGGGACACAUGUUGUAAAUAUUGGCUAGGACAUGUGCCAACAUUUCUACUGCCAUAAACAGUUUUGGCAUUUAUAAAAUUUGUUAUUAGAAUUAAGUUAAUAUAUUUAUAUAAAAAGAGCAAUUUUAACUUUACAUCCAUCGUAGAUAUAGCGGUUUUUUAUAUAUGCAAGAUAGCUGUUACGACGAGCGCACAAAUAAAAACAAAAAAUAACGAUCACAGAUCUAGUCUACAAAGCACAAAAUAGAAAAAAGAAAAUAUAAACACAGAGAAUUCAUGUAGAAAAUCCUUUGCACAAAAAAUUACAAGUGGAAAAAGAGAGAAGCUUACUAUGAAAAAAGAUACACUGUUGUAGAAGAACAAUUCAAUGUAUCAUCUCUAGGGCAAAAAGAAAAAAGAAGUUCCUUUACGUAUUUCUUCAGUAUCAAAUCUGAUUCGUAACACGGCAGCCCGAGCCUUCCGUUUCCACCACAGACAUUUAGGUUUUUUUUCACCAAUUAUUUUUCAUAAUUUGUCGAUGAAUUAGAGAUACAAAAUUAAAAUCGAUAAUCAAAUUUCGAGACAUAUCUAAUUGCGACGAAAUAACAAGCAACCUAUUAGAAUAAAAUAUUAUUUCAAAAACUGAAUUCGGUGAGCCUAUUUAAGCACAACUACAACUUAGAAUUAGUUUUCACAACCUCCAUAUGCAUACUACCUCUAUAUAUCAAAAUGUACUUUUAUAGAUGUUUUAGAAUACAACUUUAAAAUAUACAAGCAACUUUCAAUUUUUUUUAAUAUAUAUUUUUUUUCUUUAACAUCCAAAAUGUCAUUUGAUAACAAAUAAAGUAAACCAUAUGUCUUCUCAAUGGUGCUCACGAAGGGGUUAAUCGAAAGCUAAUCAAAUUUUCCAGUGGUCACAGCAAAUACACCCUAGAGUCACUUAAUAUUAUGUGCCUAGUGUGGUGCACACUCUUUCAUUACAAAUAAAGAUCAAUGUCACAAAAAUAACAUCCUUUUUAAUGCGUACUAUACCUUUAUAAUGUUGUCUUUAUAUAUUAUUAGUUUAUUAGUAAAUUCACGCAAUCGAGUGCAGUCACGAGUCAGUCAAAAACUUUCUCAUCAUAGAUGUUGAUAUAUCAACAACAUAUAAAAAUAACAUUGUGUGGAGGACACAAAGGAUUUUUCUUCUUAGAAAAUAUAGUGUACUAAGUUUUGAAAUAUUACACUAAACUUCGGCCGAAUUAGGUAAAAUAUAGUUGGGAGAUAAUUUAGGCAUGCUUAGAAAUGAGUUUCGAGGGUUCCGGAACGAUUAAAAGUGAAUUAGAGCUCUAAGAAGAGAAAAUGAGAAUUUUUGAAAAAAAAUGCAUUUUUGUGCUGUUGGACCCUCAGGGUUAAGACCACGGCAGUAGUAUCCGAACCUUGGCAGCAGCAUCCGAACCUUACCUACGUAGAAUGAAAAAUGAGCUACGGGUUCCGGACCCUGAACUCGAGGUCCGGACCCUCCGCUCGUAAAAUGCCCAAUUCGGGAGGUUUUUGGCAAUUAUAGCAUUCCCCUUUUAAAUAGGAACCCUCCCAUCUCUCUCUCUCUCUCUCUCUCUCUCUCUCUCGUUUUCUACCUCACGCACAGAAAAAGAAAGAGGAAAAUCCUUCUCUUUUCUCUGCUCUUUCACUUUCAAAAUCUGUCUCCAAGGUGGAGAUUUUGGUGGAGAUCGAGCUUGGAAAGCUUGGAGGAGUGGAGAAUUAAGCCCUAGCGUGUGUAGCCGCUUGGAGAGCUUUGUGGUUGAGGUGUGUUUUUGGAUUCUAGGGUUAGGGUUUUGUUAAAUUCUUUAAGAAUUGAGAUUUUUGAGUUUACUGGAUGAUUCUAUACUUAUUUAAUAAAAAAUUCUCCAUAAAUUUUUUUUGGAGAAAUUGAAAUCUAGGGUUAGAAUUGGAAUUUUUGUCCCUAUGAGGUUUGAACUAAAUUGAUCCUCUAAUACUCUAAUUGAAGGUUAGAGGAGAGCCCUAGACGAUUUUAAUUUGAAAAUCGACGGGCGUUCAGUGAUCAAUUUCAAGUAAUGAACCGAACCGAGCGACGUUGGCUGUAUAGGCUCAAAAGGGAGCGAUUGGCCGUAGAAGCCCAAUUACAAGUAUCUACAAGCAAUCAGAAGCGUGUGAGGACCCGCCAGCAAUAAUAACUCAUUGGGCCAAACCACUGGCCCAAGAUGCUUAAGCACAGUUAUUAUUACUAGUGUGUAGGCUUCAUAUAAACUGAUCAGAAUCAGUAUCUCAUCCAAUGUGGGGCUAUUGGGGCGUUAUAAACUUCCCCUGUUUAGACCCUGAGGUUCUCGUCGGGUCCAAACCAAAUCAUAGACAGACAGACUUAUCAGGACCAGAAUUAUUAGGCGAUGUGAGAUUCUAGAUGUGGCUCCUGCGGGUUCAAGAGGUGGCUCCUACCAAAUCCGUUGGUGUAGCACUUUGUCCCGCAUAGCACUUAGCUCUCACACUUCCGGCUGGUAUUCGGCUCUGAUACCAAUUGUAACGACCCGACCCGCCAGCAAUAAUAACUCGUUGGGCCAAACCACCGGCUCAAGAUGCUUAAGCCUAGUUAUUAUUAGUAGCGUGUAGACCUCAUAUAAACUGAUCGGAAUCAGUAUUCCAUCCGAUGUGGGGCUAUUGGGGCAUUAUAGGUUGUGUACCACCAAAGUGAUUAGGUCACUUCUACGCUAAAGAGUAAAAUUUAUAUUAUCUCAUUGAUGCAUAUAAUGGUAGUUUAAUUUGUGAAAUGAGUAGCCAUAAUUUGUAUGCUACUUAGGAUAAAUUAACUGCUAGUGGACAUGAAACUAGGCAAGUAGAAACAUAUAGGGUAUAUAUAUGCAUGGCUAGGUGUGAUAAUGAACAUAAGUUGAUUAACUCUAGAAAAAUUAGAGAACUCGAUAAGUGAGAAGUCAAGGACCAGACGUCACAUGAAUUAUGAAUUCUACGUGUGGACAACUAGGAUAAAAAAGAACUUGAUUGAAUAUUGAACCUAGUAUCGUUGAACAUAAGUCGAAAAAUAUAAUGGUAGGAUGACCACUUGGACAUGAGAACAUGGACCUAGGGAGGUUGACAUUAUAGGGUAAAUGGUGAAGCCUUGAGACUUGAAAAGUGAAUUUUAGAAUCUCAAGACUUGUGAUUAUGGAAGAUUCUUAGUCGUGGGUGUAUAUGGCAUGUUUCUCUCCCACCGCAAUACCUUUGUAAGCUAGGAUGCAUAUGUUAUGUUCCUCACCCUAUCGGGGAUCUUUGGCCAUGGAUGUAUGUGACAUGUUCCUCUCCCACUUGAGAAUCUCUCACCUAGGGUGUAUGUGGCUUGUUCCUCACUCAUCGGGCGACAUGGCAUCAGAGGUGCAUGUGGUAUAUUCUUCACCUGCCAAGUGGAUUUAAGGCUGAGAUACAUGUAGCACGUUCCUCUCCUCAGGCCUGAAUAAUGAGCGGUAGUCCACUGAUAAUUGACUCAAGACCAAGUCAGAUGGUAUAGUUUGGCUGAGGCAAGAGAAAUCUUAAGAGCGGAAUGGAUAGUGAAAUUGAAAGUAGGAGAGGUAUAUCUACUUACAUUGAUUUCAUUCUUACAUUUACUUAAGGCAUAAGUAUGGAUAGUUUCUUAUUUGCAUAUAGUAGAGUUAUAUACUUACAUAGUUAUAUAUUUAUAUAUUGGAUUAACCUUUAUAUUGCCUCUUUUGAACUUGAUAGGUCGAUCUCUUCUUUCGGGUAGCCAUACUUACUGGGAAUUAUAUUUAUAAUUUUCACUUUCAUAUUUUUCAGAUCCACACGUAAGUGACACGGCGGUGUAAGGAAAGGGCGUAGCUCGAUAGAUAGCGCCCUACCACUUUGUGACCAAGAUAGAUGUAUCCGUGGAUCUGUAUAGCUUAAGGGUAUUAAAAAUAAUGAAAGAAAAUGUAAUCAAAUUUGAUUGUAUUUGGAAGAAAAAAAAUGUAAAUAUAAUAUGAAUGUGACGAAUACUUGUAAUAGCAUAGUUGUUUUAUAUUUUUGAUACUUUCUUAUACAAUAUGUAUAUAAAUUUUGUUCAUAUAUAUUUGGAAUAUUUUGAAUUAUACUGAUUAUGACGUCUUGGGUGAAUAUGAAAAAUUCUGUCCGUUUGGCGGGUCUGGCACGUGUAGGACUCCUUCCAUCUAUUUGGAGAAAGGACGACGGGACACGACAGAAAAAUAAAUUCUAAAGUGGAACAUUCUAAUAUUUAUCGCCCUUUCUUUUGGGUCCGUCCUAAUUUAAGUUUUUUAAGAAUAAUGAUCAUUUUGUAUUCUUUAGCAUGGUAUCAAAGUAGAAAUUUAUGAGUUCUAGUUUCCGUUAGGCUCCUAUGAUUAUUUAAUUAAGCUUAUGUCUUAAGUCUCUUAAAAAGUUUCGAAAUUGGCUUUUUAUUCAAAAAGGAUGCUAAACUAGAUUAAUCCAAUCAUUUGCUGAACUUACAUGCCAAUAAAGUCUACUACUAGCUAGGUUGUGAAAUUAACAAGUGCUUAUAAGAGGCAAAUCAGUUUUAUUGAGUCACGACAAAUUUGAGUAAUGAUUAGAGACCAGAUCCCUGCAUAUCAAUCUCAAUAUCAACAUCACCUAUAUAUAAAUAUGGGGCAAUUGCUUAUAUAUUCCUGAAAAAUUUCUGAAUUUCAGAUUUACCCCUCUUAGAAGGCUAAUAUUAAAAAUACCUUUUUUACGUUCAACCUAUUUCUAAUAUAUCCCUAGGUUAAAAUCUGUUAAUGAACUCUGUUAUCUCUGUAAAAUUACUAUUUUGCCCUUUCAAAUAUAUCCUUCUGUCAUCACCGACUUUUUUUAUUUGUCCUUAAGUUAGGGCUACAAAAAGAAUUUUACUUUUUAAUUUUUUUAAAUAUACUCUUCUACCAUCACCAAUAUUUUUUAUUUGCCAUUAAGUUAAGGACAAAAGUGGUAUUUUAUUUUUUUUAAACUGUGGUAGAUAUUUAAUUCACGUUUAAUCCAAAUUAACUUAACGAGUGGUAACUGUAGGGAUAUUUUGGAAUAACGGAGAAAUAUAUAAGGGAUAUAUUAGAAAGAAAAAAAUAAAGAUAAAUAAAAUAUUUUUAAAUUUUUGAAGGGUAUAUAGGCAAUAAUCCCUAUAAAUAUAUGUCAUAAUAUAGUGCCAUCACUCUCUCUUAUCUCACUAUUAUUAUUUUAUGCUAUAAUAGUAAUUUCACUGUAAUAGUAUAUGUGGUCCCAAUGCUCUUUCAAAGGAUUUUGUUGUUAUUUUAUAGAAACAUAUGCAGCUUUUGGUCCAAAGCAAAUCGAUUGGCGACAUGUUGAUAGCCUUUCAAAAAGACUUUUUCAUUAGCUUCUCGUGUCACCAAUAUAUACUAGUUAAGCAACCCUGCGCGAAACUGUAAAAAGUCAAUACAAUAGUAAAUUAUUAAAAUUAUUAAUAUUAAUUUUUUUUCUAUUAUGCAUUAAUAUUUUUAAAUAUUAUUUAUUUUCGUAUUGAAUAAUUAAAAAUUAAAGAAUAAACUAAAGAAUGAAAUUAAAGUAUAUUUCUUUCUAAAAUUAUUUAAAUCUAAUAAGUAAAAUGAAUAAAUCGGUUUAAAAUAAAACAACAGCUCAUUACAGUAUUAAGAAAGAUAAAUAAUAUUUCUCUAUUAUCAUCAAGAUAGAAUUUAUAAGAAAAAAUAAAAAAAAACUAAGUGGAGUGAAAGUACUAUCUUUAGUAUAAUUAAUGAAGACGUUGUUUUAUUUUAAACCGAUUUAUUCAUUUUACUUAUUAGAUUUAAAUAUUUUUAGAAAGAAAUAUACUUUAAUUUUAUUCUUUAGUUUAUUCUUUAAUUUUUAAUUAUUCAAUACGAAAAUAAAUAAUAUUUAAAAAUAUUAAUGCAUAAUAGAAAAAAAAAGUAAUGUUAAUAAUUUUAAUAAUUUACUAUUAUAUUGACUUUUUGCAGUUUCGCACAGGGGUUGCUUAACUAGUAUAUAUCGGUGACGCGAGAAGCUAAUGAAAAAGACUUUUUGAAAGGCUAUCAACAUGUCGCCAAUCGAUUUGCUUUGGACCAAAAUAAAAAAUAAAAAAAGGGAGGUACACAUACAACUAAUAAAAUAUUUGAUUCCUAAAUUUAAAUUAGCGAAGAAAUCAGUAGGUAAUUAUCAGAAACACAAAAAAUAUAACUAAUCAAAAGACAUGCGAAAUCAAAAUAAAUAUUUUUUACACUGUAAAAGAUUCAACUAUCAAAUAUUAUAUUUUUAUUAUAUAUAUUAAUCCUUAAAAAAUUAUUUGUGAACUAAAGUGAAAAACAUGCAAAGUUUAGAUAUUAGAGACCAAAAUAAAAAAGAGUGAAAAAAUUGGGACCCAAUGUGCAAUUAAUCCUUCAAAAAAUUGGUGUGGGCCCCACAACCUUUCAAAAUAAAGGGAGGUCUUUUCUUGGGUUCCAAAUUAGCGUAUAAAUAAAUAGAUUAUAAAUAAAUAUUGUGAAAGAGAGUGAGAGAGUGUGAGAGAGAGAAACAAAAAAAAAAAAGUGGGCCCCACAGGGCCCCCUGUCACGUCUCGGAUUACAGCGGAAGUCCGGAUUACGUCAACAGAUCCGCCGCAUGCACAAAGAUACACCUUAUACAUACGAAGCGUCAACAAAAUUAACUAAAAUCUAACAAUAAUAGGUAUCAGAGAAAAAUAAAACUAUAUACUAUAGUAACACUAUAACGAUUUACAAGCAUCACCACACUAGUCUUCAAAAUAGUACAACAUUUUUUACCAUUCCAAGUAUCAAAUAAUUGUACAGACUGCUCGCUAAUAGGUGAUCCAACUAUACAUUAAGAAGGGUAGGAGAUGCUAUCUAUCCACAAUCCCCUUAUCUAGAUCAGUCGCUGGUGUUGAAGGCUCUGAAAUAAAAUAUUAAAUAAGAAGGCAUGAGAACUAUAAUCAAUAGUUCCCAGUGGGUACGAUCAUCAACACUGACGGUCUACCACUAUGUCCAUAAGAUGCAAAAAUAGUAAAUACUGAGCAAUAUGAAAAAACAGGUACUAAUAUGAAUAAUUGCCGAAAAUAACUAUUACUAUCAUGCCUCUACAAUAUAGCUGAAAUUAUAAAUUAUAUUUUAUGGAUGCAUUAGUUAGAGAUUAAAUAAAAUACUACAAUAAUGCCUAAUCAUAGUGACCGACUCAACAGUCGAGUUUAGCCUACGCCGCCUCGUGUCCAGCACCCACCUACAGUGGUCUGCUACCACACAAGUUACUGUCUAGCCCAUGCCAUAAUAAUAUCUCAUAGCCCAAAUACCGAGUAUAGUAUCACUAUCAAACUCAACAUAGCGUGCUGAUUGUGGUCAAAUGCAAUGAUCAAACAGAUCAUGAUAAUACUGUCAUAAUGUCUAAAAUACAGUUAUAGUCUACACUCUCUGUAGUUGUUUAUUGAUCUUCAGAAAAAUAUCAAAUAUAUAUAUAUCUCCAUUUACUCUACUAACAGGUAUCAAAGUACCGUAAUUAUCUCAACUAUAUCAAUAGUUCAUCUCACAGAUUAAAUAAUAUAAUAUGGAUAUAGAAAUUAGUCCGUCAAUUUUGACAACACGAAACUCACCUAUAACGCAAGUCCAAGAAAAUGAACGGUAAACGAGAUAGCAGCUACAACACUCUAAAAUAACUCGAAAAUUCCUCAUCAAGAUUACGCGAAAUCCGCUUCUAAAAUGUAUAAAAAAAAUCAGUUUCUAACUCUCAAUUUCUACCAAAUAUUUAGCAAAAAAAUCUAAACGAGAAAUAAUAAUAUUGUGAUACUAACUACAACGUCGAAACACCAAAAAUAAACACGCACCCCCCCCCNNNNNNNNNNNNNNNNNNNNNNNNNNNNNNNNNNNNNNNNNNNNNNNNNNNNNNNNNNNNNNNNNNNNNNNNNNNNNNNNNNNNNNNNNNNNNNNNNNNNNNNNNNNNNNNNNNNNNNNNNNNNNNNNNNNNNNNNNNNNNNNNNNNNNNNNNNNNNNNNNNNNNNNNNNNNNNNNNNNNNNNNNNNNNNNNNNNNNNNNNNNNNNNNNNNNNNNNNNNNNNNNNNNNNNNNNNNNNNNNNNNNNNNNNNNNNNNNNNNNNNNNNNNNNNNNNNNNNNNNNNNNNNNNNNNNNNNNNNNNNNNNNNNNNNNNNNNNNNNNNNNNNNNNNNNNNNNNNNNNNNNNNNNNNNNNNNNNNNNNNNNNNNNNNNNNNNNNNNNNNNNNNNNNNNNNNNNNNNNNNNNNNNNNNNNNNNNNNNNNNNNNNNNNNNNNNNNNNNNNNNNNNNNNNNNNNNNNNNNNNNNNNNNNNNNNNNNNNNNNNNNNNNNNNNNNNNNNNNNNNNNNNNNNNNNNNNNNNNNNNNNNNNNNNNNNNNNNNNNNNNNNNNNNNNNNNNNNNNNNNNNNNNNNNNNNNNNNNNNNNNNNNNNNNNNNNNNNNNNNNNNNNNNNNNNNNNNNNNNNNNNNNNNNNNNNNNNNNNNNNNNNNNNNNNNNNNNNNNNNNNNNNNNNNNNNNNNNNNNNNNNAAUAACUCAAAUUCAAUCCCCCCCCCCCCCCUUUUUUAUUUUGUUUUCCUUUUUCUCUUGGUCGACCUCACUUUCCCUCUCCUUCUCUUUUUCUUUUUUUUUUUUGCCUUAUCGAAAGUGAUAAGGCUCAGGCGUGCCUCUUAAGGCAUGCAUGAAGGCUACGUGGCCACCAAGGAAUAUACAAAGGGAAAAAAAAAAAACAAAAAGACCCCUCAAGAUCAAAUAUUUCGACUUUAGUCCAAAACAAUUAAAUCUUGAGUUUUAAAGUUCGUUUUUACGCCUAUUUUGUACAAAACGUCUCCAACUCAAUCAAACAUAAAUUUAUACUGUAAUCUUGCCAAUUUGUUAAGGUUCAGUAUAUCACAACCCCAAACCCGGGGAGCCCUCGUAUGGGUUCUCAAUUCAUGUACUUAAUUAUUUAUAAAUAGAGAGAGUCCGGUUAUGAUAUUUUUAAAAGUAUAAAAUAUUUGGUGCUCGUAAGUUUUUCACCGUUAAAUUUAUUCCUUUGAUUAUUUUUAUCUGCCAUAUCAUAUUANAUAUAUAUAUAUAUAUAUAUAUACUAUCGGUAACAUACGAGCUCCGCUGCUAUCGAUUUAUUAUUAGUGAUGGAGCCUCCAAAUCGACAAUCGGUAUCAUUGAAUGAUUUGAACCACAUGACGUAUUUAGAAAUUAAAUUUUAAAUUUUUUCGACAUCAGUGGCCUAAUAAUUAAAGGAUUGCAAAAAUUAUAAUUUAAUGGUCAAUACGAAAUAUUUUCUCGCUUAGUAGUGUAAAAAAAUUCAAAUCAGUUGAAAUUUUGUUAAAAAAAACUUGAAACUAUUUAAAGCAAGAUCUAUGCUCUGAUCUCAAUUACAAAAAUCUCAUGAUUACUUUCUGAAAGAUAUUUUUUUCCGACCCUUCAUUCUUUGUAUCCGCUUGAUGUACGAAAAAUUAAUAUUGGAAAAACAUAAAAUCGAUUUAUAGAAACUUUAAGUGGUCUAAAACUCUAAAUUAUAUUCAACAGUCCCGAUCAUCGAUUCGGAAACUCCAUCAUCGAAGAUAAAUUAAUAGCAAAGAAGUUCGUUUGCUUUUAGCUGAACUCUCUCUAUAUAUAUAUAGGGUGCGUUUGAAUUAUAUUAUUAGACCAAAUAUAAAAUUAUUUGGUGUAAGUUUGAGCAGUCUAAGGGUGGUGCCAAGACAUUUACCGAAAAACUAAUAUGUGGCAGUGGAUUUUGGGCUCCUGACUCCUUAAUGAGGCGUCGUUGGGGAGCACCUACUAAAGCUUCAUUAGUUCACUCAUCCCAUCAUCGAUUUUAAAAAAAUAUUUCUUAUUGUACUUUUUUUUCUCCAAUAGAAGGAUUUGAUUGGUUAGAACACAAAUGAUGUGGUGUGAUCUCCACCAGGAUUAACAAUCUAGCUCGCUCGAAAUGAGAUUCGAGAUCGAUUGGUUGUUUAAUAAAUGAGCCAAACAUAAGCUAAACAUUUCAAAUUUUUACAACUUAAAGUUUAGAUCAACUCAUAUAUAAAGAAGCCUAUAUUUUAUAAAUUUUAAUUAUUAGAUUGAAAUUUUAAUUUUCAAAUUUUCUUUCAACUUUUCAUUCGGUAGUGGUGGAGCUAGAAAGCUAACUUAUUGUUCGUGAGUCAGCUUGUAUUAGACUCAUCAAUAAGUAAGCUAAGUAUAAAGUAAAUUUUUUAGCUCAAUAUUUUAACAUAUCGAAUACAAGAUUGUUGACAACUCUGAAUGUCUAAUUGUACAAAAGCAAAACCCUAUUUUUAUAUUAUAUUUAUUAUAAUUCUGAUCAAACUUUCAAAUACUUGCCAGAUUCAAUCAUCCUGAACGUGUCGAUCUCAGCGUCACCAUCACAUCUUUCAAUAAGAAUAAAACCUUUUUUACCCCACCAUUACUUUAUUUCAAAAAAGUGCAAGGGAAUAUGCUUGAUUGACCAUAAGAUUUUGUGGUUAUUUUAUUAAGAAUGAUGUGGCAGCUGUUUGGUCCAAAAGCAGAUUAUCAGUGUGGACUCUUGAUAUCCUCGAAAAUCACUUCCUUUCUUGGCUUUGUCAAAUAUAUAUAUAUAUAUAUAUAUAUAUAUAUAUAAAGAUNNNNNNNNNNNNNNNNNNNNNNNNNNNNNNNNNNNNNNNNNNNNNNNNNNNNNNNNNNNNNNNNNNNNNNNNNNNNNNNNNNNNNNNNNNNNNNNNNNNNNNNNNNNNNNNNNNNNNNNNNNNNNNNNNNNNNNNNNNNNNNNNNNNNNNNNNNNNNNNNNNNNNNNNNNNNNNNNNNNNNNNNNNNNNNNNNNNNNNNNNNNNNNNNNNNNNNNNNNNNNNNNNNNNNNNNNNNNNNNNNNNNNNNNNNNNNNNNNNNNNNNNNNNNNNNNNNNNNNNNNNNNNNNNNNNNNNNNNNNNNNNNNNNNNNNNNNNNNNNNNNNNNNNNNNNNNNNNNNNNNNNNNNNNNNNNNNNNNNNNNNNNNNNNNNNNNNNNNNNNNNNNNNNNNNNNNNNNNNNNNNNNNNNNNNNNNNNNNNNNNNNNNNNNNNNNNNNNNNNNNNNNNNNNNNNNNNNNNNNNNNNNNNNNNNNNNNNNNNNNNNNNNNNNNNNNNNNNNNNNNNNNNNNNNNNNNNNNNNNNNNNNNNNNNNNNNNNNNNNNNNNNNNNNNNNNNNNNNNNNNNNNNNNNNNNNNNNNNNNNNNNNNNNNNNNNNNNNNNNNNNNNNNNNNNNNNNNNNNNNNNNNNNNNNNNNNNNNNNNNNNNNNNNNNNNNNNNNNNNNNNNNNNNNNNNNNNNNNNNNNNNNNNNNNNNNNNNNNNNNNNNNNNNNNNNNNNNNNNNNNNNNNNNNNNNNNNNNNNNNNNNNNNNNNNNNNNNNNNNNNNNNNNNNNNNNNNNNNNNNNNNNNNNNNNNNNNNNNNNNNNNNNNNNNNNNNNNNNNNNNNNNNNNNNNNNNNNNNNNNNNNNNNNNNNNNNNNNNNNNNNNNNNNNNNNNNNNNNNNNNNNNNNNNNNNNNNNNNNNNNNNNNNNNNNNNNNNNNNNNNNNNNNNNNNNNNNNNNNNNNNNNNNNNNNNNNNNNNNNNNNNNNNNNNNNNNNNNNNNNNNNNNNNNNNNNNNNNNNNNNNNNNNNNNNNNNNNNNNNNNNNNNNNNNNNNNNNNNNNNNNNNNNNNNNNNNNNNNNNNNNNNNNNNNNNNNNNNNNNNNNNNNNNNNNNNNNNNNNNNNNNNNNNNNNNNNNNNNNNNNNNNNNNNNNNNNNNNNNNNNNNNNNNNNNNNNNNNNNNNNNNNNNNNNNNNNNNNNNNNNNNNNNNNNNNNNNNNNNNNNNNNNNNNNNNNNNNNNNNNNNNNNNNNNNNNNNNNNNNNNNNNNNNNNNNNNNNNNNNNNNNNNNNNNNNNNNNNNNNNNNNNNNNNNNNNNNNNNNNNNNNNNNNNNNNNNNNNNNNNNNNNNNNNNNNNNNNNNNNNNNNNNNNNNNNNNNNNNNNNNNNNNNNNNNNNNNNNNNNNNNNNNNNNNNNNNNNNNNNNNNNNNNNNNNNNNNNNNNNNNNNNNNNNNNNNNNNNNNNNNNNNNNNNNNNNNNNNNNNNNNNNNNNNNNNNNNNNNNNNNNNNNNNNNNNNNNNNNNNNNNNNNNNNNNNNNAGAGAGAGAGAGCGAGAGAGAGAGAGAGAGAGAGUUGAGCUAAAAUAUUAUCGAUAGCAAACGAACUCUGUUGCCACCCAUUUAUUUUCGAUGAUGGAGUCUCCAAAUUGAUGAUCGGCACCGUUGAAAAUAAUCUAUACCACUUAAAGUGUUUAAAAAUCAAAUUUCAUACAUUUCCGAUAUUGUUCUCUUAUCCAUCGAGUGGACACAAAAAUGAACGGCUGAAAAUGAAUAUUCUUUAAAAAAUGAUGAUAGGAGUCUUGUAAUCAAGAUUAAGAGUAUAGAUCUUGUUUUAAAUAGUUUAAAGAAUUUUCUAACAAAAAUUCAAUUGAUUUGGAUAUCUUUACGCCGUUAAACGAAAAAAACUUCAUAUCGACUAUUAAAAUUAUAAAUUUUGGAACCCUUUAAUCAUUAGGCAAAUGAUAUCGAAAAAAUUUGAAAUUUGAUUUCUAAAUACUUCAAGUGGUAUAGUUCAUGUUCAACGGUGCCGAUCGUCGAUUUUGAGGCUCUAUCAUCGAAAACAAAUGAAUGGCAACGGAGCCCAUUUGCUAUCGAUAGUAUUCUAGCUCAACUCUCUCUCUCUCUCUCUCUCUCUCAUUAUAUUGUAUAUAUUAUUAUAUAUAUUCAUAGUUCGGCCUAUUAUGCUAUUAAUACACGAAGCACUUGGUGCUACAAGUUUUCCACCGUCUUAGAGUCUACCUUUUGAAUCAAUUUUCACACCGUUAGAUUAUAUUCAACAACCACCGCACUCACCCUGAGGUGCGUGUAGAUCUACUGACAUGAUCGACUUGGUGCUAUUAAUAUAUAAUUAGCUACAUAUAAUAUAUAUAUAUAUAUUAAAUAUAUUAUAUUAUAUAUAUAUAUAUAUAUUAUAUAUAUUAAUAUAGUAGACCUAGGCUACUAUGCUAUGCUUAUGGAAUAGCCAUCGAAGUGUCACGCUCCCGGGGUCCCUUUUAGUCUAAAAUAAAGCGGAAAAGCGCAGAAAUUUUUUUUCUUGAAAAAUUGACCCAGAGAGUAUGCCAGAUCCGCGCAGAACUACAGGAAAUCCACUAUUCACCGGACAGAGUCUCACCCUGUAUUUGCACGGGCGUCGCACAAGUACAAGAAGGUUCCAGGCACUAACCACAACAAAUGAAAUACAAAUAACAAGCCGUUAUAUUAUAUUCAUACACAUUCACCACAGAUUCACAUUUAUGCAUAAAUACACUAUCAGUUUAAAUGUUUCAUCAACCACAGAAGAUAGGUUUUGAAUUACUAAGAUACAAAAUCACAGAAAAACUUUUUGAAACGUGUUCCCUAACACGGGAAGUUUAUCGUUUUUAAAAAAACGCUUAUCCACGAGGGUAGAAAAUCUUUUAUUUUACAAAAUCCAGACUUCUUUUAUUUAACGCUAAUGAAAUACCGAACCACAUAAACCAUACUAAACAUAUACAAUCAACGAAAUAAUAGGUGCAUAAUAAUUAAACGAAAUAAUCUGGGUCGGAGCUCUAUCGACCGUAUGUAUCUCACGUCUCGUCUCAACCCUCACCGUUCGCGAUACCCUGAAAAAAUAGUGGGGGAGGUGGAGAACAUAUUAAACAUGUUCUCCCUGCCCAAGUGGUACGCAAGCGAGAUAGGCGAGGAGUACUCACCGGACAGGAAGAGCUAUACAACAACACGGUGUCAGUGGGAAUAUUAGUAUUAAAUAAUAAACGAAAGCAGGUAUGUAGAGCUGACAAGUAUAGGAUGCAGGUAAAUUAAAAUAGUUAGCCAUACAAUAAACAAGAUAAGGACGUACUGGAAUAACAUACAGCUACUAUAUGCAUGCGUCAACUUGACUGAAUAACUUCAAAAGUACCCAAUCUCGCUGCCCUAUUGGUCUGAGAGACCUCAGGCCCAUGGCCACUACUUACUCAACCUGUACCUGACCGCUCGCAAUGAAGUCGCUGGGCCACUGGCAGAAGCAUAUACCCUCGCAAUAAAGCGUCUUGGGCUCCGCUGUUGGCAAUCCAACCACUGUUUCCGAAAAACAACACCCUUUGCGGUGGAUCAGACGCUGAGUGUUCGUUGAAGGUACCUAGUAGCGAUCAAUGUAGUAUGCUCAAAGAUCUUCCAUCGGCAACUAGCCGACAAUCCAGCCCCUCAGGGCACACCGACCGUAUAGGCCAUCAGCAACUAGUAGGCUACGUAUGUCAAGAUAGAACUGUAGCAACUCAACCGAAUAGGUCAUAAAUAUCAAAAUAGGGGAACCGCCCAACCAAAUAACAGAUAUAGUGAACAUAUAAGUCAACUCUACUCCUAAGCAUGAUAUCAACAUGGAACUAACUGAGUAGAGGAAUGCAGAUAUAAAAGCAGGUGCAAGGCUCAAUAUGUAUAUGCACACAGAUAAUAGUAAGAGGGCAAGGGUAAGAAACCAUCACCGAACGUGCACCACUGUACCGACGUCGGAUCGAAGUAUCCACAUGUACAACUGUCGCGCCUGUCUCCUGACUGCAAAAGAACGUCAACAGGACCUAAGGAAGGUCCUCUGGAUUAGUGUCUAAUCCACAACUAAGAAAUACUACAUCGUAAUCCCGCUAACAAACCCACGGAGAUCACUUUCCCAAAACCGACUACCGUAACUCGCCGGAAGUCCCGAAAAUCGCACCGGAACUCAUCGAGACCCACGAACUGUCCCGAAAUGUACCGACUCAAGAUACGAGUCACCCGCUGCCACUAAAUACAAAUUACAUGUGACUUGGCAGCAGAGACCUUAACUCACUCCAAAACGAUUAUCGUCGGGUAAUCGUUCCGAUCCGGAUUUCCGGAGGUGUUUAUUUCGACACCGGAAUCCACCGUCGCUCACCCGUCAUUUCUGAACUCUCGAAAUGACGCGAGUGACCAGCCAACAAGGCUCAGCGACUACACAAUAGCUCACGAAGCACCGUCGGAAUAAUUCCGAACCAAAACCAUGUUCCGUCGGCGGAUUUUGCCGACAAACGCACCGGAAUGCAUUUUCGAUCUUCGCAAAGGUCCGGGGCCUUGGACAAUCAGUCCAGAGGUCACCCACAACUCAUCCAUGCUGCCGACAGCAGCCGCGACGAACAAAGUUGCAUAAAAGCCCUUCCGAAUACCCAAAAUCGCAUUAUUUCAUGCGAUUUCGGCGCUUUUAUGGUCCGUCCAUGCAAACCAGAGGUCAAUCAGCCAAGCCAAGAUACCCACUGACAGGUUUCGACGUGCCGGAGGCCGUGCUUACCUUUCGGAGCAAUUUUGGCCACUGUAGAGAGCGCGGGGGUGACGCGAAAGUCUGCGAAUAGCGCGCACAGUAUGAAAAGCAUGCUUAUCUCGCUAACCAGGGUCUCGCUGACCCUAAUUGAGGUGAGCACUGUGAUCAGCACUGACAAAUGAUCACCGUGCUCACUUCUGGAGGCAUCGGAACAGCCUCGGGUCGCCGGAACAGUAUACACAACCCCAAACAGUGCACAAUAAUUGCAAUACAAGCUUACCGGAGCUAGGCAGGGCUCGGGGUGGCCGGCGGCGGCCGGACGGCGGGCAGGCCGGCCAAGGGAAGGUGCUCCAGGUCAGAGGAGGCCAGGGCUCGCGUCAACAGGCGACGGGAGGCGGCGAUGACGGCGGGCAACGAUGCGCUAGUUGCACAACCCGAGGAGAGCAUGGGCUCACCACGGUUGACAGGGAGCUCCGGCGGCGGGUUAGCCGGCGGUGGACGGGUGCGGCCGGCCAGGCGGAGCCGGUGCUCACGCCGGACGGCGGCGGCGCCGGUGCUGGAUGUGGCUCGGUCUACACAAAGCCCAACCGGGCUGAGCCGAACAAGACGGCGGCGCUGGCGGCCGGGGGAGGUCGGGGGUGCACAUGGGCGACGGCGGUGGUUCGCCGGAGGCCGAGGGAAGGCGGCGCAGUCGAUCUGGAGAGGCGGCGGCGCGCGGGCCUCGAGCCCACCGUGCUCGGUUUGGGUUGACCGAGGGUGGCCGCUGGGAGCAGGGGCGGCGCCGGCGGGGACGGCGCCGGGGAGUUCCAGGAGGGUGGCGCUUCCAAUCCUGAGCGGCAGCAGGGCGAGGAGGAGGAGAUCCCACCACCUCGGCCAGAUCUGCUCAGAUCUGGCCGCAACUGGCCAGGGUGGUGGUGGCGGCGCUCGGGGGCGGCCGGGACGGCGGCGGCCGGCGGCGAUGAUGUUGGAGAAUGGUCUCGGCCAGAGGGUGGAGUCCGAGGGUGUGGGUUCACCCUGGUAGCAGCACAAGUGGGGGGUGAAGGGUGGUGAAGCAAGGAACAAUGGAGAGGUGGAGGAGCAGCCAGCUCCGGCGGCCGGCGGCGUGCUCUGGUGGCCGGAGCGCGCGCGGGGAGAGCAGGGGAACGUGAGGGAGGCGGUUAAGGAAGAGGAGGGGACCCAGGGUUAGGGUUUCAUGGUGACCUAACUCUAUGAUAUAUGUACAAUUACAGAAAAACCCACCUCAGCCCUAUUUUUAUAAUUUAGUCCCUGCCAUUGCGCGUAACUUGCGCAUACGCACCACCACGCUCGAUCUCAAGCGAUUCGGUACAUAAAAUACAAUGACUUUUGCGAAGUUUCCGAUUUGCCACCUUCGACCCCUCAGUGAACAUUUCGCGUUUCCCGAAAAUCCAUCCGUCGGAUUUUCGAUCUGACAGUGCCAUCGCGUUCAGCACGACGGGGACAUCGAAACUACGAUUUCGUUUCAUCCGAUUUGCUUGCCGAUUUGCGACAAAAUCUGACCUCUCUCCAACUAACCUAUAUAUCAUACAUAGGCCUUGGUGGAAACCCGAAAUCCUUUAAUUCAAACUCGUAUUUGAAUUCCCUGCCACCAGUAGGUACUUGAAACAUCUCUCACCCAUCUCCAGAUCACUUGUACAAAGCACGAGGAGUUUUAAAAU